rnacentral:lncRNA from 1 species
UUUGAGGUGUUUCUUGUUGUGCGACUUUUGGGGGUAUUUCCAGUCAUAACAUCUAUAACAAUAGACUUUACCCACAAUCUUAACAAUCAAUGGGUGAUGAUAUGGGUGAGGGUGAGGAUAUGGAGUGUAUGGAGGAGGCUUAGGAGAUGGUGGAGGCAGAGAUUUAUAGUAGUAAGGCACAUGAGGAGGAUACGGUGAAGGAGGAGGUGGAGACUUAUAAUAGUAAGGUGGAGGAGGUGAAGGAGAUGGUGGAGGAGGAGAUUUGUAGUAGUAAGGUGGUGGAGGAGAUGGUGAAGGAGGAGGCGGAGACUUGUAGUAAUAUGGAGGAGGGGGUGAGGGAGAUGGAGGAGGAGGAGAUUUGUAGUAGUAUGGUGUUGGAGCUGGGUGACUUCUCAGGUGGGGGAGGAGACUUGUAGUAGUAUGGUGGUGGUGGUGAUGGUGAAGGUGGUGGUGGGGACUUGUAGUAGUAAGGAGGUGGAGGUGAUGGAGAGGUGGUGGCGGGAAUUUAUAGUAGUAAGGAGGGGNNNNNNNNNNNNNNNNNNNNNNNNNNNNNNNNNNNNNNNNNNNNNNNNNNNNNNNNNNNNNNNNNNNNNNNNNNNNNNNNNNNNNNNNNNNNNNNNNNNNGCAUGAUAUGCAUAUUUAUAGUGGAAUAGUUCAUAUAGAGUGGAGCUGCAAUGAUCGAGGGACAAUUCAUAUGUCCAGUUGAUACCAUUUAAUUUUAAUAAUGCGUUAAAUGAAGCUUCCCUAGCUGGCCUUGUGACUUUUUAAGUACAAUAUGUUAUUUCCAUUUGGUUAUUUUUCUCCAUAUGGCUCCAUUCCAACUAACUCGAUUCUUUUUUAUUGAAAUUUCCAACAACUCAUUUAAAUAUAAAUCGGCUCCUGAUCUAGUCUAUACAAUAAUGAAUCAAAAGGUUCCCAAAUAAUUCUGUUCUCUUAUCAUUUCUCUCAGCUGCUCAGUUGCCUCUAUUGACUGAAAGAAAAUUCAAAAUGCUUUUUUCAUCGAUCCUUUUUCCUUUUCUAAUUGUUUUCUAUUGUUUUUGUUCAGAGGUAAUAAGGUAAAGUGAAUAGUGUAUUUCGCAUAAUGGAGAAAUCCAUGAGGGUCAUGAUAAUUUGAUUUGCUCAAGAAAUGGCAAGCAGCGGCCAUUGCAACCUUUGGAUAUAUAAUAAUUAUAUGUGUGCAACCAUGCAAGUAAAAAGUAUAAGACUAUAUAUACGUUAUAAAAUAUCGUUCAUUAAUUUACAUAUUCUCAGUUACGCGCGUACGUACCCAAAAUUAACAUGCUAUAUAUGUGUGUAAUAUUUUAAUAUAUAAUUUAAGCUGCUUAUGGAUAUAUGUUUUCUGUUUUCUUAAGAAAUAAUUACUUUCGUUUCUUUUAAAAAGAAUCUAUUAUUUUUAAUUAAUUUUCUCACAAGUAUUUUCUUUUCUUAUCUUUAGUAAUUAAUAAUUUUGUUCUCAGGUGUGCUAGCGCUAUUUGUCAAUGAUGGUAUAUGAGUUCUUGUAAGCAGCAGCAUCAAAUGCACAUUGCAGCUUUUGCCGGUAAAAUCGACUUCAACAAACUAUGUAUUUCCAGAUGAGAACUUCAUUUCGUGCGGAAAUCAUGAUUGUUUUCUUUUAUUCUUCCUCAUUAAAAUUUAGUUACGCCCUUAUCUUCGUGAAAAUCAGACCUUUUUUAAUCAAUUUCCGGACCAGUACAAUAUUAUAUCAAUAUCAGAUCGAUCGAGAGUAUUCGAUAAAUCAUUUUCUUAAUGUUUUCUUUGUUUGGUCACAUGUAACAUUUCUGAACACGUCCAAGAAACUGAAAUAGUUUUAUUUGCGCAUUGUAUAUAUAGCACUUAAUAAUUGAGUGUCGGCUUUGUAAAAAAACGGACGGAACUAUUUCAAAAUGAACCGUAUAUACACACGGAAUGGAAUGAAAUUAGAAUUUAAGUAUACUCAUCUAAUAAAAUUGUACAGCAAUUUAUAUAAUAUUUCUGUUUCUCUCUCUCCAUUAUAUCAUUAAUCUUAUUUCACAUUUUGUAACAAGAAAAUCUUACUUUUUCACAUGUGUAUGAAAUAAUAAUUGUUUUAUUCAUUUAACCUAAAGUUUUACUUUAAGUGACUUACAAUUCAAAUUAAUUUGCAUAUGUCCCCAUGUGCGUCUAGCUACUAUUAAUUACCAUGCAUAUUCUAAUUAAGAACCAUGUUAGCCAGUGCUUUCCUUUUAUCCUCUUUCUUUUAUUCUUAUUAAUGGCAGUCAAUGCCGUGUAAUACUACGUCUCUCAAUUUAAGUCUAGAUAAUGUUUCAUCGAAUUUGUGAUGAUUGUUGUUGAUGGAAAAAUAAGCCAUUUGAUCAUUAUUUUUGAUUUGGACAAUGUUCUUAAUUUAGUUCCAUAAUUAAAUUCGAUAGUCAGAAUAGAUCGGUGCAGGUAUUAAUUAAGAUAGAAAGAGAGAAGGAUGUGAUAGUGCCACAGACGUGUAUGGGGUACCGGUGUAGCUGUGGCCUUUUUUGUUAUGCUUAUAAUGCAAUAUAGGAUCUACAUAUUAUAGGAUAAAAUUAGAGAAAGUCAAAGAACGAGUUUGCCUUACAGAGGAGCUAAUUAUGUUAAAGUCAUUCAGAGGACCACUCCAUUUACCAAUAUUGUUCCAAAAUUCUCAGCUUUAGGUGUACUACUAGUAAAAGGUUAUUACAAUUAUGAAGACUUUGAAUGCUUUGCGAAAAAGAAAAUGAAGACUUUAAAUAACCCACUGAUCUGUAAUGACUACAGUUUGAUGAGAAACGGGCGUGAAUUAAUAGGAGAUAAGCAUAUCGCUCUAGCGUAUAUGAUCCAGAAUUUGCCAGGCAAAAAAAUUCGAAAUUUAUCAUAGAAUUUACAUUUGAGAAAAUAAGAGCAUUUUUUUUUUUUUUACUGCAAGAGCAUAUUUUGUUUUACACAUACUAGGCAUUUUUAUUUUUUGACCAUAGUAUAUGUAUUUUUAUAUGUAAAACAAUUGUCUGCCAAGUUAAAAUAUUUCGUAAAUACUCCCAAAAUCCUAGCUAAUUAAUAUGGUAAUUAGAUAGGUAUACAUUAACUUCAUUAAGUAAACUUUAAUAACUAUUCCAACUUUAUCAUAAUUAUUGCAAAGUACGUCAAUCAUUAUGUUUCAAUAUAUAUUAAGAUAUUAUUUUCUAUUUUGCCAUAAUAUUCUGAAGUGAAGUGCAUAAAGGAGACACUAUGAUAAACUAAAAAACUGGGCUUUGACAACUAAUAUAUAAGAAUUUGUAUGCUAGUAUUAAGUAAAUUGCGUUUUCAGAGAAAAUUAAGUUUAGGUUUUGAAAAUGUCACUUAUAUUAAUUAGAUCUAGUCUUUGUAGACUGUAAUUGAAAAAUUAAUUUCAUAUUUUUAAAAAGGUAAACAUACUAAAAAAAUUAGGCAAAAGCUAAAAGUUGAACAUCGUGGAUCGAGUUGUGAAUCACAAACUAGGUUUGGUUGGGUCAUAAACAAGGACAAUUAUUGAAUUGACUGGAUUUCUAGAGUGAAAUAAAAUGCGUAUUAAGAGAUAUAAGAUUAAUUUGAUAAUAAAAGAAGAAAAAUGAAGAUGAGAUCGUGAGUUUAAAUUAUUUUAUUAAUAAAAACUAAUAAGCUAAUUAAUAACAACAUUUUUCAUUAAAAAAAUGGUAUAUUCUAGAAAACACUCAAUAAUUUAUAAUUUUAUAAGUUUUUAUUUUAAAUCGUGAAAAUUUAAUCUUUAGAUAUUUCUAGUUAAUAUAGUUACAUUACAUCACUUUAUUUGUUAAAUGUACGGUUUCAUUUAUGUUUUUAUUUAUGUUCUUGUACAAAUUUUCUCUAACGUUUGAGACGACGUCCUAGGUAGAGCAUUCAAAUGUGUAUUAUGUCCAUCUCUUUAAUCUCUGCUAUCGUGAAGUGAUGCGCCUCCCCUUAGCACUUUGGAGGUGUUGUUGUAUGUGAUCGGAUUUCACCGUGAUUCACUCUUAAUGGAGCCAUCAUAAUUGUACAGAAACGAGGAUCCAACCUGAAACUUACAUUGUCCUCCAAUCUCGAGCACAUGAAAACGAAGAUGCUAAGAUUAACUGGACCAGUUCGGAUACUGACCAAGAGUUAAUGUUAAUUUUAUUGAUAAUUUGAGAUUUAACUUGAAUUAUAUAAUAUCAAGAGAUGCAAUUAAUAGCAUAAUAUAUAUUCAUAUAUAUUGCCUUAUGCCAGCUACUAGUUGAUAAUUGAUAGUCACCUGAGUUGUCUUAUAUUGAUUUUUUUUUCUUAAAUUUUGUAUUCUUAUAUUAGCUAGUUUCAAAAGAUAGUAUAUGAAAAAAAAGGAAUAUGCACUGAAAAGGAAAAAUAAAAUAAAAUCAUAUGACGAAAAUUAAUUUUAAUUUUUCUGGUCAUGAUCUGAUGUGUCGAAAAAAGGAAUAAAUCAUCAAUUAGAUUAAUAUUUGAAUAUUCUUUCUCUGCCUCCAUGUUGAAUUCCCACGUAGUGAUGUUCAUAUUUUCAACACCACAAAUUAUGCCAAACUCCCAUGUGCCCACGCUCAUCUUAUGAAUAUAAUUACUUAUGAUUGAGGAUCCUCUCCAUUAAACUACAGUCUACAGCUCCAUCUCGUUCUCACGUUCGCAUUUGAAAUGCAAAUGCAUACUUAAUAUUUUAUCAAAAACUGAAGAAAUACUUUAUCUAAACGAUCGCUACUCACUAGAAGUUUCCGUGCUGAUAAUGUUUUUCAUUUUUUAUUUCUUUUCAAAACUCAUCAUAGGAAGCAAAAAGUCUAACCAUAGAACAAUAAAAUGAAUAUUAUCAAAUAAAUCACUCACAAUAAUUAAAAUAGGUUAAUAGGGAAAACCAAAAGUGGGUGCUCCAAAAUUCAAGUAUUCACUUAUUUGCAUUAUGCAAGCAAUGUUUUGUUCAACUUGUAGAGACAGUUUAACGUUACGCGUUCUCUACCCAAAGAGAAAAUCACGCGAAUCACGUUAAUUGUUUAGGUCUUCAGCUUUAUCUACAUCAUGCAGUUGAAAAAUGAAAGUCUAAUCUUUUGUGAAUCAAAAUUUCUAGUAUUAUAUAUACCAUGAUUUUAAGAACUUGACUGGCAUCGUCAAUCUCUUCAAAAGGCAGCAUGUUGAUUUUCCCUUUCUAUUAUGAUCAGUUGUCAAUUUGUUAAUUCCUAGACUCUUUGAGCCACAUGAUAGUUCGCAUUAUCAAUUUACCUACGCUUUAUGAUAUUAAUUCAAUAUUUUGACCAAAUUAUAUAUACUAAAACCCAUUUUUAAAAUUGUAAAAAAAAUGGUGAAUUUUGAAAUUCUAAAAUUGAUUUCUCGGGUUUGAUAAUUUAAAUUUUCAUUAGGUCAUAAAUUCAAUUAGAAUUUGCUAGACCAUAUUCAAUGGAGACAAGGGAAUUAUGAUUCAUUACCAAUUUUUAAUACGAUUCGGUUUCUUACAAAUUAAGAAAAAUUAGAUAAAUAACAGAUAAAUAAUAUCCCCAAUAUGUAGGUAAAGGACAAAUAUCCACUUACUAUCUGGAUAGGAUAUGAUUUGCCAAUUGUGUACCGUAAGGGAGUAAACAUAUGCGUGCACCGUGUGCUGUGCAUAUUUCUUGUUUGAAUAACAAAUAUCUGCCCAAUGGUAUACUUUCAAGAAAAGUUAUCUAAUACUCUAGGGUUCUCUUUGUCUUUUUGUUAUGUUAUUCCUCAGUUUAGCAUUAAACAAACAUUAAGUUAAUGAUCAAUAACUUCAGCAAAAUAUCCCCUCGAACCUGCAGCCAGCAUGUGUGUUGUGGCUUGCAUAGACAAUUAGAAUUAAUAAGCUGCCUAUAAGGGAUAUUAAUUUAUAACCAAAAAAAUAUUAAAGACGGGUUAGGAAAUCAUAUAAAAAGAAAACAUACUAUUGGAGUUCAAAGUAAAAAAGUUGAGCAUUAUAUAAAUAAAAAAAAUCUAUAAAUUUCAACUUUAAAAUUUUGGGAUAAAAUAUGAUGUAAUUUCUCUUGUAUAUAAAUGUGAAGAUUUGGCCUACCACUCAUAUUAGAAUAUACAAGUAAUUUUCAACUUGAAAGCUAAAAACCAAUUCCAUAUGGAUCCUAUUUGUCUUAAUGUUAACAAAUUUUUCAACAAAAACACAUUCUUAAUACAACACUUUUAAAUUAAUUCAAUAAUUGAAAAUCAAUGAUAUCAAAAUUAAUUUUGCUUAAUUUUAAAAUAAAUAACUAAUAAAAUAUUUUACCGGUCAAUACAACUUCUUUUUUUUUUGACAAAAACUGGCCGAAUCACAUCAAUUUAUUGAUGAUAGUAUAGAAAAUACAUGUUGAAAUAUGGUAAUAAAGUUUGAGUCUAGGAUGAGAUGUGGCUCCUCUAACAAAAGAAUGAACAACAUCAUUUGCUUAUCACUAUAAAUUGUAUCUUAUAGUUUAUAAUUUGCACAAAUAAUUAUUUGCAUUUCAAUAAAAUAAAACCUACUUCUGAAUUUUCAAGCAUUAAAAAAUUUCUUUUAUCUGCUACAACUUUUAAAUCCAAAAUAUACAAACACUUUAAAAUCUUCUAAAAUAUCUAAAUUAACUUUUGUAUAUAAAAUAAACUAUUCUUUUUAAAAAUUAUAAAAAAAAAACAUUUUCUCCAUUUAAACCAAUUCAAACAGGCAAGUAUAUAUUCCAUUUAUAUUAAUUAAUUACAAAAAGAUAAUUGUUUAUUUCACGUGGUACAGUAGGUUGUAAUGACUAUAAACAUUAUAUAGUAUGAUCAUUCAGUUGAUCAUCUAAAAAAUUUCCAAUAAAACGCAAACACUUUAGCACGUGAUUAGCGAUCAAGGGGGGACAAAUUCGGAUCAGCAGCCACACAUCAUGCAAAAAGUUCGACAAGUUUUAGUAUUUUAAGUCAUUCAUACAAGUUUAUAGAUGUACAAUUACAUGGCAUAUUACACUUUGGAGAGGAGAAUAUAACCACACAGCUACUAACGGCUAGUUGAAAGCUAAUUAAAUUUUGUGUUUCUUUCUUCAUAUAUACACAUUUUGUGUAUGGUAUCGUGUGCUUACUCUUCCCUGAUCUCCAGCUACACCGACACGAUCGACUGUCAAAAAUCAUCAAAUGAUGCAUAUCAGUGUAUAUUUAUAUUUUUAUGUAUGUAUAAAAAGAUUCUAUAAAAUUAAUUUAAAUGAAGUAUAAGAAUUCGUUUUGAUGACAAAACUGUUCAACAACUUAUAUUUAAAAGUGAUUCUUUGCAUUUUAGUCCAAAUUUAUAUAGCUUUUCUUUUUCUUUUAAUUUCCUUAAAUUUUUAUUUUUUUAAAUAUUAAUUUGUUGAUUCAUUAUUUCAAAAUUAAAUUCUAAGAUAGCAUUAGUUAUUAAAUUUUCAAUUAUUCCCUUGUUGAAAAAUAGAAAGAAAUAAUGAUGCAUAAGACAUCAAAGUAAUAAAUAAAAAAGAUAAAAGAUUAUAAUGCUAGAGAAGAAGAACAAGCAAUUUUUAGUUAAUUUCAAUUCCAAUAGUUACUUUUUUUAUACCUAACAUAAAUAUGAAAGAGUUUAUAAUAACUCACCCUACUUAAUCAAUUAAAUUAAACUCUUUCAAUAUUCCAUUAGUUUAUUCUAACUCUUAUGAUGUCUACUAGCUGAAAUAGACUGCAAUUGGCAUUGUUCAAUUAUAUCUAUGAUUGAAUGAGAAUUUAUUUUUCUAAAGUGAGUAGGAAUAAAAUAAGUAAUCUUAAUUGUUAAUUAAAAAAAUAAAUGAUUAAUAUUUUAACACUCUCUAGCUAGAGUGAAUUGCUUACUUCAUAAGAGUUCGAUUCCAUUGAAUGUAUUCUCAAAUCAUUUUGCAACUUCACACAAUUAUCUCUUUCUUUUGUCUACUAUAUGUUCCCAUUCUAUCUUGGCCCUUGUUUAUGAAGCAAAGAAUCUUUUUAAGUUGCCCAAACUUGACGAGACUCGAGAGUACUAACAACCAACCAUUCCUAUUGUAAAGGAAGGUCUCUAUCAUUAAUUCUAACAGCCAAGACACGAACUGCUCCUAAUUGAAAAACUCUUUUAAAAUCUUAUCUGGUGUGCGAUCCUCCUCUGAUGCAAACUUCUCUUCACUUUGUUUGAGAUGCUUCAAAAUUUGUAUCCCAUGAUAACUGCAAGAAUUUUGUGUUUCUCUUAUAAUUUCUAUAGAAUGACAAUAGGUUCUGAACUGCUGAAAGCCUCAUUCAUGUACUUGGAGUAAAAAAUAAUUAUUAUGGUUUUUUACCACUAAAAAUUUGUUUAUUUUACAUUAAGAAUUAAUUCUUAAUAUGGUAGAAAUGUGUCUUAAUAAUUAUGUGCAUGUUUAGAUACAUGUUAGAAACUCUUUUAACGGAAAAAAACACUUAAUCCUAGACAUAAACAUGGAAGUAAUUCUCUUAUUAGUUACUUUUAACUUGAAGCAUCUCCAAUAGGAUGUUUACAUGAGUUAUUUAACUUUAAGCAAUGUUGCUUAAGUUCUUUUUUUCCAUUGAAGUGUAUGGUGCCGAGUUGUUUAUAUAAGCAUCAUUGCUUAAUAAUAUUAUAUCAUAAAUAAUAUAUUUUUAAACAGCGUAAGAAUCAUAAAAUUAAUUUAAGUCCUUAUUUUAACAAUCUUAGUAUUGAAGUGAAUUUUUAUUUAAAAUACUUAAAUCUAUAUGAAAUUAUAAGACCUAUGAAACUAUGAGAAAUAACUAUACAUUAUAGAUGGUUUUACAAACUCAACCUAUGUGUCCAAUUUUCCUUUAAUGUAUUUUUUUUCUUUGUAUGUUGAAAGCAACCUCCCAACAUUAUUAUUUGUUUGUUUGGGCUAGAGCCCACGAGACCAAAACAUAGAGGCCUGUCAUAGCAAGUACAAAACUUAGAUUAAAAAACAAAAAACACAGCAUCAGCAAUUCAGCGUCAAGUAUCCUCUUCCUUCUUCUGCAUCAACUCAUCUUAUUAGAGGUGAAUUUUCCAAAACUUGAAGUUAUUACUCAUUUUUUGGUUGGUAUUUAAAGUUAGUCGUAGGAAUUAGGGUUAGGGGCAGUGUAUCUUAAUUCAUGAUCUGAUUACUCUCCAUUUCUUGUCAAUUAUGGUGCAGUUUUUGACUAAUCAAUUAUGGCCUAUGAGAUAACUGAGAUAAAGAGUAAGUAAGAAGCAUAGCAAUGCCACUGCGUUCUCUUUAUUGUUUAUUCUAAUUUAAGUGUUUGACACUGCGUGUGUCUGAACUUGGACAGAGAUUGGCAUAGGCCUAAUUGGUUUCGGCAUAUUUUUCGCAUUUCUUGGCAUAAUUCUUUUCUUUGACCGUGGUUUGCUUGCUCUGGGAAAUGUGAGCCUUACUUCUUCAAUCUAAAUUUUUUUAUUUCGAAUUCAAUUGAGGUUGCUAUAACCCUAAUUUCGGUUUUGGUAUCAGAUUUUUUCCUUGGCAGGGGUAGCCAUUUUGCUUGGUUGGCGUUCCACGUGGGCACUCUUCACAUAUAGAGCAAACUUUAAGGCACUCUUCUCUCCCUCCCUCUUCAUUGCAAAAAUUGUUUGCAUUAAAUCAGAGAGCAGAAUUUUCAUUCCUUAAAUUGAAUGCUGAUCGUGGAUCGGCUAUACUAGAUAGAUUGCUUUGCCUGUCAUGUAACAGAUAACCAAUCCAAUUAUCUGUUUGAUAGCUGACACCCUAGUAAAAUUGCUGUACAAACACUGCAUAAUGGAAAGUAUCUGUCAUCAAAUUUUAAAUUAUGUUCAGAAUAAUCAGAACUUUCCUUCCAGCACUCCAAGAAAAUGCAUGUGCUAGUUUUGAUAUAUGGAGUAUCUCAAAUUUAUUUUUGACAUACAUAACCCUUAAAAUUUCCAAUUUUCCUGAUGCCUCAUUGAUUGAGAGGCUUGUUCACAGUUUAUUUGCAACGUAUUAUUUUCUGCUUGUUUCAAUGAUAGUUUGGAGCAGAGAAAUUGGAUUUUGUCCCAGUCAGUUCCUGCUUGUCUACUUGUCUGUAUGAGAUUUUCCCCAGUGCCAAUUGUCUUUAGAAACCAAUAAUUCUUACUAAAAUCAGGAUUCUGUUAGGUUUAGGUCACUAAUCUGUCUUACUCUAAGUACUAACCCUGAUGAAUUAAGGAAUUAUUUGCUUUGGAUUUCCAGCAUCUCUUUCUGCGAUGAACAUUAAGCCCCGCAAAUGUUCUAUUUGAAUGGAUGCCAGUCUGUUGUAUCUUUCGUCCUUUGUUCUUCUACUACUACAUCAUAUCUUAACCUUAGUUCUUUGGUGUCUUUAUCCACCUAUAUAGAAUUUCGAAAUACUUUAUGAAUCAAUAAUGAAACAUUCUAUAUGGAGAUAACUAGCUUGCUUUGCCUUUUUUGCAGGGUUCUGCAUCAUUUCUACUAGGUCUCUUUUUCAUUUGUGUGAGGUGGCCAAUUGUUGGUAUAAUACUUGAAAUAUACAGUUGUGUUUUUCUCUUCAGGUUAGUUGAUGACAUCCUUCUUGAACUCUAUGAGACUACAAAACUUAUUCUACACUUUAUCAUUUAUGCUUUUGGUUGCAGUGGAUUUUGGUCAUCUAUCAAAGUGUUCCUCUAUCAUAUCCCUGUUGUUGGAUGGAUUAUACAGUUUAUCUCUCGUAAGUUUUCUUGUGAAAAUUCAUUCUCAAGACAAAUAUAUUUGGAUGAAAAUUACAAUUUAACCCAGAUAUUAUAGUUUUAUGAUGACUUCUGACUACUAUUUCAAAUAAAGAAUGGUGGUCCUAUAAAUGUGCCUAUAUCAAUUCACAAUCCAUUUAUUUCGAUUUAAUUCAAUUCUGAGAGAAACUUAGUAUGUGUAUGUGUGUAGAGAAAGAGGAGAGGGGUAGUCAGAAGUUUCAGGCCUAUGGGCAGUAAGGAAGCAGGGCCUUUGUAAAGCAUGCAUGUCUAUCUUUCUCCUUUUUUCUCUUUGCAACACCCACCCUCACUUUUUGUUGAAUGUGUAAGAUUAGCUACAAUCAUUUAUGGUGAUUUGGAUAGUGCUUAAUCUUUGUUUCUACUACUUUUCAGCUCCUUGAUUGUCACAGAAGGGAUUUAACUGAUGCCUUAGUAUAUGGCUAAUCAUGGGUUUCGAUUGUAUUGGUAAUUUUUCCAAUGACUUGUGCAUGAAUGCAAUGUUAAGCUAGUUUUUCCAAGAGUUUGCAUCAGGCAGAUUAGCUUCCUUUAGUGAGAAGUAUCGCAGCAUGUUAUUUAUGUAGAAGAGUUGGUACUUGGUAGCCAUAUUUUGUUGCUUUAAAUGUAAACAAGAAUACAAGCUGGUUAUGCUGUUCAGUUGUCUGAUAGCAUGAGGGCUUGCUACUGAUGUCAGACUGAACAUAUAUUAACCUUCGGCUUUAUGCGCCUUGUCAUUGUCAAGACCUCGCCAAAGGAUGUUGAAAUUCUUUUUGUAUGUUUUUGGUUUAUGAAAGAUUCACGGGUUAUUAGUGUUAGUGUUGGAAUUAAACUUUAUGCUAUAAAAAAAAUGUGGAGAAAUGACUUGGGUUUUUAUGUCUUCAAGUUUUCAUGAAUGGAGCCUUUCUAUUUUAAUUAUUGAUCCAUAAAAAGAUUUAAAAAAUGUGAAUCACAUUUUCCAACAAAGAUUCAGACCGUAGAGGCUUAGACCCGACCACGCUAUUUAACAUGGUAUUUGUGCUUUGGGCUGAGACAACCGCAAGAGGGAUUGGUUAUACUAGAUUUUCUGGUUUGACGGCGUGCGGGGGGUUCAUCUCCAACCAUCAUGGGGUUUGCAAGAUCCCUUCAAGUUGAUAAUAUCUUCAAGAGUGAGUUGUGGGCUCUCAUCUAUGGUCUGCGUAGGCUUUAGUAAUGUAAUCAUGGAAUCCGAUUCUGAUUCUUUUGCAAAGUUUGGUCUAUCUAUUGACCAUGAUUUUGUAUUCUUUUUUAUUACCCUUCAAGUUUUAUGGAGGACAUGCUGAUUUGUAAUGCCUCUAUGGCUCUAAAUCAAAUGUAAUUCUGUUGUUUUCCGGCGUUUAUUCCUGUUUAAUCAUAAAAAAAACAUGGUAUUCGUGUAUUACUAAAAUGAAUUUGGCAUUUCACAUGAAAUUAGAUUUAUACUUCCAAGUAUUAGGAAAAUUUGACAUCUUUUAAAACUUCAUAGUUUCUUAUUUACAGAAAACUUCAUAAUUGUUGAUGAAUGUUAAUGGGGAACUACAUAGAAUCGCAUGAUAAAUUACAGUAAUUUAUUGGGAGAUAUUAAUGUAUACAACGACAAAAUCUUGUCCCACUAGAUGAGAUUGACUAAAUAAAUCAUAUAGUAUUAUUCAUCGCUCUUAAAAUGUAAGUUUAAGAAAUAUUAAGUUCAAAAUCUCUCUUGAUGAUUUUUUCAACAUUUUUGGUCUCUUUUCUUUUUUUUUUAGGCUAAAAAUUAUAUAAUCUAUUCUUUUAAAUAAUCUCUAAUGAUUUUUUUUUCAUGAUCAAACCACCUUAACUUAUUUUCUGUCAUCUUUGUUUAAUGGAUAACAUCAUUUCACAUUUUAUCUUUUCUUUUGUGUACAUUUAAAUCUAAAAUGGACUAUUAAGAGACAUCAUGUGCUGGCAUGGGCACCCAAUUGAAAAUCAGACCUUAUUUUUAAUCUUUAAGAUGGAAAACAGCAUGCAUGGUGUCUUCAAAUCAAAGAACCCAAACACAAAACUGAAGUACAACACCUAGUUUGUCACAUUCUCCGAUCCUAUCACAAACAAACAACUAAACGGGAUUUUUUCAAAAUGUUUCUUAGAGAAUCAAACCUAUUAUUAGCUUAUAAUCCAUGUUGAUUUUGGUACCAAGCAAUUGAAUUCAAAAAGAUUAAAAUCAAAUUGAGGGCGUUACACACAGACACACAAAUUCAAACUUAUUUUUCAUGUGAUUAUUCCAAAAAUACACUUAAGUUAACUAAAAUGUGAGCAUUAUCUCAAAUAAAUAUGAUUAAGGGUAGUUUACAAAAUAUAUUUAUUUUAUAUAUGAAAUUUCCGUAAUUAUUGUGAAAUUAAGUAAUUUUGUCUAUAUUUGAGUUCGGAGGUAUUAUUUUUCUUUCUUUAUCUUUUUGGUAUACAAAUUAUUGCACAAGUGAGAUUUCUUUUUAAAAAUAAACUAAACUAGCUAGAACACAGUUCCUGUGCUUUGAAACAAUAGUGUAAGGGACUAAAAUAUAAGUAGAAAAGCAGAAUGUAGAGAGAUAGACAGAGUGUAAGGAACUAAAAUAUAUAUAAUGUUGAUAUGUGUAAGUUAAAAUGGUAGACAUUUUGUAAUACUAUUAAUAAGAUAUUGGGUCAAUUUAUUGAAUCUUAAAAAAUAUUGUUUUAUUAAAAGUAUGUUUGUAAGAAGCGGAUUGAUUUGUUUUUUUUUUAAAAAAAACUGUUUUUAAAAAAAAAACGUUUAAACAAAUACAUAAAAAAGUAGAAAAUUACUUAUUUUAUUAAGAAAUAUUUUUUUAUAAAAAAAAUAAGUUUAAAAAGUCAUAGCUACAUUUGAAUUCAAAUAAAUACUUUUUAAUAUUUAAUACCUUUUACCUAUAAAUUAAUGACAUUUUUUUGGUAGUGUACAUUACCUAGAAAUUCUAUUCGUGUGAAUAUAAGAGCCUUAUUACUUUUAACAAUAACUAAAAGGUUUCUCUUUUAGAAAUAUUCAUAAAAUCAGGUGGUACAUAACCAUAGCACGCAAUACAAAACCAUUUGUUCGAAAUUAGAUUUGAUUUUGUAACGCUUGUUUGUUGUAACUCGAGUAAACUUCCAUGCAAAUACCAUAUCAACCAACCAACCAAUUAAUCAAUCACUGGUUGAAAAUUUAACUUCACUCUAACAUUCAUCGUGUCUCAAUCUCUCUCCAUUGCUCGAAUUUUGUCAUUCACACUUGAACUGACUACACUAACUUCCUGGGGUAAGUUUUGUAUGUCAUCUUCUCCGAUUUUGACGGAACCCUUGGUUUUGGUAUCCGACACACUUUUAAGUUUAUUGCACAAUACAGUUAUACGCUACAUUCCAUUUUCAAUAACCCCCACUUAUGUUCAAAACAUCAUACGGAUGGCAUUUGUCAGCUUCGCAUCAUGUACCUAUUUUUGGAGACAUAUCAUAAUUGUUGUCACAAAUUUAAUUCUGUGUCAACAUUGGCAUUUCCUGUUUCACAUGUAGUAUUUAAAUUUUACUUAAAAUAACUGGAAAUAUAUAUACAAAAACAUGUAAGCUUGCACCUCCGUAUAUUACUAUAUUUUCAUUAUUUUGCAUUACUAUUUUUCUUAUUAUAUUUACCCAAGGGAAUCUACUUUUCGAGUAAUGCUUUGCUGCCUUACAAGAUAAAGUUGCUUUCAACGCUGCAGGACAUGAAAUAGUUGGAGAAAAAAUAUGUGGUUUAGGGCAUUUGAUUUCAUAUUAGCGAAAAAAAUACACAAGGUUAUUUUUUCUUCUUCAAGACUAUGGUGGUCGUCGCGAAGCCAUGUGUGUAUUAAAAAUUUUGUGUCCUUUUUGUGAGAUUAAAAUCAUUUUAGAAAGUGUUAUCAAUGAGAACGAAAUUAGUUUACUAUUGACAAUGAGAUGCUCAAGUACCAAUAACUUGUGACUUUUGGCCACGGAGUACUGAAACUGUGUAGUGUCACGUAAACCAAUUAAAUAGUAUGUCUUCAGCUUCUUCUUGCGACCAAGGAACCAAAAAGCUGAAGCAAAUGACAAACGUGGAAGGUCACUAUAAACAGGAUGUCUUUCGUCAAAAAAAGUGUAAACUAGUUUCUUCUUCUUCUUUUUUUUUUUUUUGUUCAUAAUGUUUAUUAGUUUCAAUUAGUACAUGCUUUCUCUUUGCUUUAAUUCAUUAUGGUAAAAAGUUCAAUUUUUCUGCCAGUCCACGAUUACGUUAAAAAUUUCAAAAUAUGCCAUAUUCACAUGGGACUUGGGCCACGCGUCACAGGCCCAUGCUACCUGCCAUAUGGACGGAGCAGAGCGGUCAGUGAAAAUGAAAAUGGUUACGAACUAUACUUACAUCCGCAUUUAAUUAAAAAAGUUAUUUUUUGAUGCAUUGUUUGUAUAAAUAUUUUUACAAUAUUAACAAAUAAUUAAAAAUUAUAUUAGAUAUAUUUUUUUAGUAAUUAUUAUAGAAAAAAUUAAACUUAUUAUAUAUAAGAUGACAAUAUAAAAUCUUUCAAAUUUAUAUUGUCAAUGCAUUUAAAUUAGUUUCUUAAUAAUAAAAAACUCUAAUUCAAACUUACAUUUGCAUGAAUGACGAUUUUAAUACUCACAUUUAAUUUUGUACUCACACUAGUAAUCAUUGGAUUUAAAUCAAUUAUCAUUUUUAAAGAUUACGGAUGCAAUGGCCUCUACACAAGUACUUUUUAAAGAUUAGGGAUUUAAAUCAAAUUGGCUCAUGAAGGAUCAAAAAUUAAAUUUUAGUUUAUAAAUAUAUAAAAAUUGCAACAAAUUAGUCCGUAGAAAAUUUAAUAUCAAAUUUUUCUUCGAUAAAUAUAAUAUAUUAUUAAAUUAUUUUUAAACAUUAUAACUUAAUAACAAAAUAAUUUUUAAAUUUAAUGACAUAAGUAAUUUAUCCCACUAUUUUCAUGAGACUAAAUUUAUAUUGUAUAUCUUUUAAGAAUCAAUUUAUUACUGCAUCAAACUUUUAAAACGAAUUUGACUGUCUACUCUAAUAUUUAAUGGUGAAUGAUUGUUUUACAACCUUAGUGACCCAAUAUAUGAGUCGCCAAAAAUUAAACAACAUUAGCAACUGCAAACCUCGGUAGCAAAAUAUUAUAUAUAAUUAUCGGUGCUAAUUCCAUUGCUGAAUCUCCAUCUUUUCUAUUUGCAAUUGAUACUUGCAGACACAAAAUUGCAGUCGCUAAAUGGACUUUUUUUUUUUAUAGUGUUUUUCUUCUUCUUCUCACCAUGUUAUUGGUAUGAAUGAGAUCUCUUCUCAUAAUUAAGUUUUUCAUCUAUAAAAUUUAAACUCAAGAUCUUAACUAAGAGAUUAAUAAAAGUCCAAUUCCGCUCGAAGAAUAUAAUUAUAAUAAACUUCUUAUUUGCUGUCACAAUAUAUAAAUAAAUAUAGAUUUAUAUAUUAUACAUUAUCCUUAAAAAUUAUAGUUACAAUAAAAUUUGAUAAUGAUAUUUCCAUAAAUUUGUUAGUAUAAAAUUACACUAUAUUUAAAUUCUUAGUAUAUAUGACUCUCUCUAUAUAUUGAGGGUAUAUUUUAAUAAAAAAAAUAGUGUUGACUAUAUAAAUAAUUAGAUAGUCAAGAUAUUAAUUCUUCGCAUCAAAAUACUCUAGCUCUCUUUCACACAUGCACAUAAAUUGCUGUGUAUUAUACGAUCUUAUUGGUCUUUUACUAUUGAUGUUAGAUCUUCUCUUAUUUAUAAACUCUAUUUUCCAAAUUUUUAAGUAGGAAAAAUAUGAGUAAAAAAAAGUAGGAAAAAAAUCAUUUGAAGAAUAAAUUGGUACAUUAUUAGCUUGUUAUAAUUAGAAGUUAAAAUCCUAAAUAUUAUUACCAAAUUAUGUACGUCCUAGCUAGAUAGAUUAAUAAUAAAAAAUUCAAACCUAUUUCACGUUUAGCCUCUUAAAGAAUAGCCUACGCAUCUGCCUGUAGUUAUGAUGCUUUUAAAGAACCCUAUAAGGACCUACCUGUCUAACUUUCAAGCUUUUCCCAAAGCAACUAUAGUUUCGGCUACAAUUCAGACAUUUUGAAGUCUAUCUGUUUGCAGAUUUCUAUAAAAUUUGGCUAUAGAAAUUAGUUAAGAGAAAUUGAUCGUGCAUGUAAACCAUGAAACUAUAUACCAUAGUAUGUUAUAUAUGUAUAUUGCGCCUCUACCAUGCAUGCUUCAUGCAUUGGAUCUAAGGUUGUGGUGUACGUAUAGACUACCAUGCAUGGAUGGAUGAACCUCGACUUGUUCUUUGGAGAGCAAGACCAUUUUCUUUGAUCUGGACAAAGAAUGAUAAUAAUUACUUUCAUUCAAUAGGGAUUUGAUAUAUGAAUUUGUUAGAUGAUGAUAUAUUAACUGAUUUGCCAUGAAUGAACUUUUAAGAAGAAAUCGUCUGUGAAUGAUCUUCAUAAAUAGAUGCGGAAGAGCUCUGAUACCAUUUUACAGAAUUAGAUAAUUGGUUCGAGUGUAAGAAAGAAGGAGCACGCAUGCGAGAGAAAGUGGAAUAUGUACGUAUUACAAAAUUAUUUGAUAAUAACUUAUAGAGACUAUAUAUCUGUAAAAAAAAUUAUGAGAAAUAAAUCAACAAUAUAUAUUUUUAGAAAAUUAAAACUAAAUUUAGUUAUAUUGAGGUGUAGUACUAAAAAAAAGUCAACAAUAACUCUUGAUGUUGUUGUGCCUUUUGUUUUGAUGGAAUAUUGUAAAUAUUAAAGAGUAAAAUCAUAAUAACAGGUUUAAGGCAUAGGUUAAGAGAAUAUUAAGUUAAUAUAAUGUUAGUUAUUGCUUGAUAAAAUAAAUAUUAAGCAUUAUAUUUUUGACAUAAUAAAUAAUUUUUUUUUAUGAUUUUUAAAUAUUAUUUUCUUAAUUAGUUCCAUAUAACUUUGAUUAGUAUUAGUAUUUGUCAAUAUAAUUAAUUAGAUUCUUUCUAUCGGGCUGCUUUCCAUGGUCAUAAAAUCGACUUCCUUUUAACAACUUUACAACCUAUUUUUAUUUAAACGAUUAUUUAAUUAUAAUGUAGCUCUAAAUAUUCUCGAUCUAAUCUUAUGCCAUAACAUGUGUUAUAUAUUAAUUAGAUAUGUAUAUAAAGCUUUCAAAGAGGAUGAAUGUAAAAGAAUAUGAAUCUACUUGCAAUGUAAAGUAAGAAAGUGUUGUUCAUGCAUGCAAUCGUGGGAGGCAUGCAAAAAGUUGGUUGCGAGCCCAUUGACUUUCAAUUCAAAGUGUUGGAUAUCUUAGAAUCGUCUCGGAUUACCAUUAAUAAAAGGAAGUUAGUAGCUAUAGUGAGUCUAGUGACAUGAGACAUGGCUGCCAAAACUGGGUAUGCUAGUAUUGGAGGAAUUGAAUAAUUAAUGGAUACUCCGUUCUUUUAGUUUGCAAAAUUUUACUAGUCAGUAGCAAGUUGAAUAAAGCUAAUAUUCAUAAAUGACAACAGACUAGUUUUGAAAGCGAUGAAUGAUGACAGUGUACCAUUUUAAUUUGAUUGUAGUUUCUCUUCUUUGCAUUUUGGAAAAGAAAUCUAAGAUAUGUAGAACAUUCUUAAACCAACCAUGUCCCCGUCAAAGCUAAUUAAUAUUAAUAUAUAUAUUUCGGUGCUUGCAUGAAUUAAAGCUGACUAUAUGUACACAAAAUUGAAGAUAUACUAAUUAAAUAUACCAAUUUUAAUAAAAGAAAGAUACUGAUUAGAGGGAAAAAAAUUAUUGCUUCGGUGAGUUUACUUUUAUAUGGAUUCAAAGAAAACCAGAGUUUGAUAUCAAAAACCAAAAGUUUCUUGCAUAUACACCAGGAAUGGAGUUCGAAUUAGGAUGAAUCUAAAAAAAAAAAGUUCGUAUUAAGGAUACUUCUCAUAUUAUUAGACUAUUUUAAUUUAUCAAAAAACAAGUCUUUGGGUAAAUUAUUAUUUUCUCCUACUCUAGUGAAUAAUGAUGUUACACAGCUUAUUCUACAAAAUUACAGUAAAAUCAUUUCAAGAAAUGUGUGAAAUAAAAUCAAAAUGUUAGCGUAAGUCAAGACACCAAAUCUAAUUCGACACAACCUCAGUCUCAAUUUUUUUUUUUUAUCUCAAUGUAAAAGAAAUGAUUUUUUUUUUAUCUCAAUGUAAAAGAAAUGAGAGGUUGACCAUAAUGACACUAUUUUCUAAAUGUAAUAGUUUCUUUUAAGUUAACACAUCAAUCUUUUACACUAAUCUCAAGAUAUUAUUAGUUAAUCCUAGAUUAUCAUCUGUUUAGAGCUUUAACCAAUCUUUAUGUGACAUGUUAAGUUUUUAAAAUUAAGAUUAAAAAAAUUAACAACACUUAAUUACAUAUCAUGUUGAUAUUAGUCAAAACUAAAGAUUAAGUGGUGAUUCAGGAUCACCUAAUAUUUUUUUUUCUCGUCUACUCCAACUAUAUGAUUAAUACAAAUUAAUUUUGUGUCACCUUAUAAGGUUUGUCAAACCGUCACUAAGUUUGAGUCAUAUGUGCUUAAAAAAAUUUCCUCGUCGCAUUUCUCACUUUCUCUCCCCUUCUUCUAUUUGUUGCCAAAAUUAUCAUUGACAGUAACACCAAUUCCAAGUAAUUCUCUCUCUCUCUCUCAUUCUUUGUCUUUUUCCAGGUCCCCAUUGUGUGUAUUUACAUUUGGUUUUAGCUUUUUGUUUGUUGGUUAUACUCUUGUUGCAUUGUGCUCUUUAUCGUAGAUUAGGUUUUAGCUGAAAGUGAUUUAGGUAUAUUUGUGAGAGUUUCUAUGUGAAUUGAUGUGUUAUUUGUUACCAGAGAGCAACCAUAUCAAUAGGUGUGAUCCUAUCUAAAGCUUAACAUGAGAAGGCAUUAUGUGUUAAGCUUGUGAUAGCUAGAUCUAACUAACAUGUUCCUCAAAAGUGUAUUGCCUUAUUUGCACAAAUGCUUGUUGACAUCAACAAAAUAAUGCUUACUUGAAAAUCGCUAUAUACCAACAGGAUUGACGUGAAAGCUGUACUUAGGGUUGGGGUUGAGAAGAUUGAUUGUAGUAUGAACAACUGCAUGUUAAUUAUGUUGUAAAGAAGACAACAACUUAUCCGUAGACAAGUUUUGUCAAGUUAAUUAGGAUAUAUGUUCCUCGAAGGCAUGGGUUGGAAAAACUACAAAGAUGUUUCGGUAAAGAGCUAGGAUGUUUAAUUUAUUUCCCAAUCAUUUCAGGUUAUAAAGAUUGUAUAUAAGCAUCAAUAGAAUUUUCCAUUCAAAUGAGAUAACAUCAUGAGAGCCAAAAAAACAAACUGUGUGUUUUACGCGCGCGCCAUGAAAAAGGUUGUAAUUGAGAGUACUCAGGCAUUGGUCAUCUAUCAUCAUUUCAUCAAAUAUGCCACAUUUUAUAUUGUGAACGAACUAAUUAGUUUAUAUAGUACAACACUAAUGUAGUAAUGAAUAUAUAUUAUUAGAUGAUUUACAGUUUUAUUGAAGCUGUGUUUUUUCAGGUUACAAAAUUAUUUGGUACAUUGAUAUAUAGCUGGUGGGUGGGAGUCAAAAGUUGACGACCACUUUGAAAAGAAUUAUCCGCAAAAGUGAAUGAUGCCACACUGCCGCAGUGAAGGGGCACACAUGCAUGCUCGCCACACUGAGCUAGCUAACCUUUUAGUAUUGAUAUUAUUAUGAGAGAGAACCAUAUAUAGACACUGAACGAUCUAAGUGUGAAGCAUUUAAAUGUGUGUGAGAUAGAUAGAUCAUAAGACCAAAAGGUUUCACUGGAUAGAGCCACGUAAGUUAUAUAUAAGCUGACUUCAAAUUAAAGUCGUCACCAUAUAUGGCAUAAUAAUAGCACCGUGUCCGUGUUGAAAGUUCAUUGUACGGUACGUGUGAUAUGCUUCUGUUUUCCUAUUCUCAUUAGUUUGUCCAAACCCAAUCACAAGCAUGCGUCAAACAACAACUGCCACUCGUCUGAAUUGCCCUGAAAUAAAUACCCAAUACUUCAGGGGUACCCAAAUAAAAUUGUCGGUGCUGCUUCUCUAAAAGCUUAAUUAUUUAAUAUAUCAUCUUGUGCCAUUUACUAUCCACAAUUUGCAAUCGCCCCCAAUCCUUGCCCAGAGACAAUUAAGUACGUAUCUAUAUCGGUUAAAAUGAGAACUAAUCUUGAAAUUGAUUACAACUUUACAAGCUGAACAUAUUUCAUAAAUGGGCUGCUGCACAUGUAAGUUCUAUGCACUGUUUAUGUGCAUUAUUACUUUUGGGUUUGCGGAGGAAACUUAUGCCUAAUUUAAUAAAAUUAUUUUUUUCCUUUAACAGAUUUUAUAUUAUAGGAUACUAAUUUUUGAGAUUGCAAAUAAUGCAACCGGAUUUUAUUUUUUUUUAAAAAAAACAAGCAUAAACGUUAAUAUAAGAAGUUUAAAUCCCAUAUAUUAACCAACAAAUUAAAGUUCAAUUGAAUUAAUAAAUAUUAAUUGAAGUUCUUUAUCAUGCAUGCUCAUUAUCAAAAUUUGGCUGUUCAUGAUUGUGUGAUUUGUAUGUUUGAUAAAUAAGCUUAAUCUAACCUUGACUCAAUGCAAGUUAGGUCACAAGUCCCCAACAAAUGGUUCAGGCAAUUUUAUUCCUAAAUAUACACACUACAUCAAUUUUUUACAAAGAGACUCUCUAUUAUACACCUAAGAAAAAUAAAAUAAAAUCCUAACGCACAUCCUUCGUUCUCAUUAAUCAAAUAAACCUAAAUCCCGGCUAACUAAUACAAAUUAAAACUGCAAAAGACACUCUUAUGUUGGUAGUAGCAAAUUAGUAGACUGGGAACUUUCCAACUGCUACUCUUAUAACUUUUUGUUCAUCUAUGAAACAAAUAUAGGAAAAAGAUAUAUACUCCGGAUACAUAUACUCUAUGCCUAAUAAUUAAUGAGAAAAAAAAUUAUAUAGGGAUAGUGUAAAAAGUUUUAUACAGUCUUUCAAUUAAAAUUUAUUAUGGUAAGAUGAUUAAUUUUUUUAAUAAUUAUUAUUUAAUGACGAUUUAAAUUAUUUUAUAUAUAUCAGGUUACUACACUUUUAAGAAAUAAAUCUCUAAUGCUUAAACGCAUUUUUUAAAAAAAUUUAAUUGUUCCUUUUCCCCCUAAUAAAUAAGAUGUAAUUUUUGGUUUAGAAAUUAGGCAUAGGAAUAUCAAACAUCAUGAACAUAAUAUCUAACAGGAAUGCCAUGCAGCCUAAAACUAAAAAUUGACAUACACACUGAAAAUGAAAUUUGAUGGAAUCAAAAUUUAUUGAUGACUUUCCUAAACCUAAUAUGAAAAAGAUAUAUAUACGCGUACCGAACAUUUUGUACAACCAUAUGAUUUCUGUAAAACAGUAACCACAUGUCCUUAAACUUGCUUGUAAAUUAAAAGCAAAUAACAAGAUCUUGACCCUUAGAUAAAACAAAAUUAAUGGUUUGUAGACACCACAAAUCUGUGUCGACACUGAACAAGAUUUAAAAAAAAAAGAUAUAAAAGAGAAAGAAAUGUAAGUAUCUGAUUUAACGUGAUAGAGAGGGAUAACAAAAUAAUACAUGUUAGCUAGGUGGUUGAAGUAGAUGAAUGUUAUAAUUAUCAGAAAUUUUUUAUUCUAAAAAAUCACAAUUUUCAAACAUGAAAUUUUUUCUCUUAGCUUACCAAAUAUGUACACACACCCUCAUCAAUGUAUCCUUAAUUAAUAUAGAGAAAAAAUCAUAGUUCAUUUAUAAGAAAGUCAGAGGACAGUAUGAAAUAUGAAUAAGGUUGCAGCUGCGAUAGAUAUCGGUUUCAUUAAUUACUACAGAAAUAAUUUUCAAUAUAUUUGAUCACUCGUGGUAGAGGAAUGAAAACUGUUUCUUUGGCAUAUAGAGUUGAAGUCAACCUCAAUCAAGAGAAAAAAAAUACAGGGUCCACAUGAUCGUGUUAGUAUUAAUUAAAGUACUCUCUCUUAAUUUUCACUCCACUCAGCCCAGCCGCAACAGAAAACAAAAAGAAAAAAUGGGAAACAACUCGUGACAUAAUGUCUAACCGACCAUAUAAACAAUAGAAACUCAACGAAAAAUACGAAUUUUGAAGUCUCGGUCAAAUCCUCGCCUAACAUGCCUUUUUGGUCUCCUAUCACGCACAAUUCCCUUCUCCACUUCUUCAUUUAAAACUACACUGUAUGUCUUUCCUUUGAUCCACGAAGAAGCCUCUCUCUCUCUCUCUCUCUCACUCACACACACUUAUUGUUCUUCUCCUUCCUUUAAUGGCUUCUGUCACACACCCAAUACCCAGCAGCAGAACCAACAAUAAUCACAUCACAUUCUCGCAAACAAAGUCUCUCCCCUUUGGGCAGGUUUCACUUCCCAUGAAAAAGAAACAUGACUUGUCUCCCCUUAGCCACUCAAUUGCUGCUACGAGUUCCAUACUAGGAAUCACCAGCACCUCCAAUUCCAGCCAUGCACACACUAGUACUCUUUCCAAAACAAUAACUACAAAGCCCACACACACUAGUACUCUUUCCAAUUUCUGGAGAGAGGUUCAAGGGUGCAACAACUGGGAAAACCUUUUGGAGCCUUUGCACCCUCUUCUCCGCCAAGAGAUCAUUCGCUAUGGCGAGUUUGUAACCGCCUCAUACAAGGCCUUUGAUCUCGACCCCAACUCCAAACGAUACUUGAACUGCAAGUACGGGAAGAAGAGGAUGCUGAGUGAGGUGGGAAUGUCAAACUCUGGCUACAACAUCACUAAGUACAUCUAUGCCACACCUGACAUAAACAUAAACCUCCCCAACAUCACUAACUCUUCUUCUUCUGGUCGGUGGAUUGGUUACGUGGCUGUGUCAUCAGAUGAAGCUGUCAAGAGACUUGGCAGGAGAGACAUAUUGGUAACUUUCCGCGGAACAGUUACCAAUCAAGAAUGGAUUUCGAACCUGAUGAGUUCAUUGACACCGGCCAUGCUUGAUCCCUAUAAUCCACAACCUCAAGUGAAGGUGGAGUCAGGGUUUCUCUCUCUUUACACCUCAGAUGAAAGCUCAGCUUCCAAGUUUGGACUCGAGAGUUGCAGGGAACAGCUUCUCUCUGAGGUGUCAAGGUUGAUGAACAGGUACAAAGGGGAGAACGACAACCUUAGCAUAUCUUUGGCUGGUCACAGCAUGGGAAGUGCUUUGGCCAUCUUGCUUGCCUAUGACAUAGCCGAGCUUGGAUUGAACAAAAAGAGUGGCAGCACUGAGGUGCCCGUUACUGUGUUCUCAUUUGGGGGACCAAGAGUUGGUAACUCCGAAUUCAAGCACCGCUGUGAGGAGUUGGGUGUCAAAGUGCUACGAAUAGCGAAUGUUAAUGACCCCAUCACGAAACUACCCGGUGUUGUGUUCAACGAGAAUUUUAGGGUUUUGUUGGGUGGUAGGUACGAGUUCCCUUGGAGUUGCUCGUGUUAUGCUCAUGUGGGGGUUGAACUAAUGCUUGAUUUCUUCAACGUGCAAAACCCUUCUUGCGUUCAUGACUUGGAUACCUAUAUUUCCCUUCUCAGGCGUCCAAAUAAGCGCAAAAGGGAUGGAGAUGGAGUAAAUUCUUUGUUGGAGAAAGCAACAGAGUUGCUCUUCAACUCGCAAACCAUGAAAACUUUGCCCGGAUUCUUAACUGCAUACAACUACCAUGAUUUGCUGAAUUCAGUCUCAAGGGACAUAUUGUGUUCUUGGAGCGAUGAAUUGCUUUUUGGCUUGGUUUUUUUGUUGUUGUAAGUAGUAUCUUGUAAUUAAGUAAUGAAAUUAAAGUAGAUAACUGAUUAAUAUAUAGUUUUACAAGUAGAAAGGAAUUAGCUAUAGCUAGAAAUUGUAAAAUGAAGAGUGCAGACUGCUGAGGUCUAUAUAUGUAUGUAAAUCCUUGUAAAUUGAUGAAGCUUUCAAAUCCAUGUUUAUAACUUGCAACGUAUAUAUAGUGAAUAAUAUGCAGCUUCCAUUUUUUUAACACUGAAUUUGCAAUAACUCAGCUCUCUGCAGUUCACUCAUUUUUUUACCUCACCACACAUGGAGCAAGGAGAACGGGAUGGUGAACUGAAAAUCUUUCUCCUAUAUAUGUUGUUUAAUCAGGGCAUAUGAAGAUAACAGUUAGGGCAUCAACUAAUUCCAGUUGGAUAAACAAGAAACCGCGAGUGGGAUAUUGAGUUUGUUUUGGCUCGAAUAUUAUACUCAAUGAUCAAAGUAUGUUCUCUCGAUGUGUCGGUUUGGUGUGCAGGGAACGAGUAGUGCAGUGGAAAGCGGAUACUAUAUGUAAAGCUUAAUACUCUUAGUUUUAUCAUUUAUGUGAGGUGGGAUAUUUAGAUGGUUGGGAAUGUCUAGAACAAUUAUAGAUUUGGUUUUUAUCCUGUUGUGUGUGGUAACUGUGGGGUUAAGCAAUAUUUAUAUCUAGCUGGGUAUUAAUACAGUUUAACCCUGUUGCUAGCAUCUGGAUUUUAUCAUAUGUAAGUGUAUUCUCAGGUACUUCGGGUACCAUUUCAACAUAUUGGUCCAAAAAUAAAAUAAUUAAAAUUUAAACUUUAAAUUUAUUAACAUUUGUUAUAUUAAUUUUUUAAAAUAAAAAGAUGACACUUGUUAACUAAAGGUCUCAUAUAUCACUUUAUUCUUUAAAAUAUGUUUUUUCCUUUAGAUUUCAUUUUCUGUUAAAUUGAUCUUACAUUUCAAUGAUAUGAGUUUUGUAGAUUUUUUUUUUAAAAAAAAAAACCACGAUCUCCUUCUAACCUCUUUUUCUCUUUGAUAUAUUAGAGGGACGAUUAGACAAAUACUUCCAAUCACCAAAAGAUCAUACUUCGCUAGAGGAAUUGGCUGUGACACGUUCAAAGUCGUAAUUUACCACUGCUUUAAGUUCUUCUGUGUAUCAAAAAUGAUUUUUAGAUACUCAGAUGUUAUUCUAGGCUAUGUUUAUUUCUAGAUAUCAAGAAAGAUUCUCGAAAGAGUGAGUUUUAAAAUUUUACAUUCGAUCCAUGUUUGAUGGUAUAAGUUUUAGAAAAAAACAUUAAUUCCAUGUAAUUGUUGAUUUUCAGGAAUAUCAAUUACUCAUAAUUGUCUUUUGAUUACUCAUAUGACCAGUGGUUCGUGUGCCCUGAUGAUUGCAUUUAGAAACUAAAAUAAUACACAAUCAUCUAGAAACUAAAAUAAUACAUAGACAGGGGUAAAUGUUCAAGUGCAAAGGAAGACGGUGUUAUUUGUACGGAUUCAUGUAUAGGCAGGAAAUUCUUCAAUUUGUAAUUUAUAAGGUUGACAUUUGUAAAAGUGGCAGGUGAUAGUACAUUUGAGCUAGCUAGGACAGUCGUUGAUAUUGGUUGAGAGUGAGUAGCUUUUAUGACAGUGGUUAAUAGAUAUUAGCAUCUAGCAUCGGUAUCUAAUAUUAAUUAACCUUUGUGUAUCUCUUUCUGUAACUUACUAAGGUGCUUCUGGUACCAUUUAAUAAAAAUCUUCUUUUUAGAUUUUAAAAAAAAAUCAUAAUUAUGUUGUUUCUUAUUUUCAAGGAGAAGGAUGAGUCUUUUUUUUAUUAUUGACAUGAAAAUAGAAGUUAUUUUAUACAAUAACCAUCUAUUAAUUCCUACUUUAAUUUUUCACAUUUCUUCUUUCACUUUUUUUUUCUUUUAUUAUAUUUUAUUUUUGUUUUUCUUUAAUUACUAAAUAUCAACCAAAUAUGCUCAUGAGAAUAGCUAGUAUUCCUAAACAUAAUAAUACUGGAGAUGUGAUUCUUGAAAAUGCAAAUUAAAUGAUGUGAUAUGAUAGAAAAAUAAUGAUAAAAAUAAAUGAAAAGUGUUAUGGGAUGUUUAAAAAAUUGAGAUGUUUAAAAAUCAUUACUAGCCGUAUGUACUAGUUGCUGGUGUUUGUUAUUUGCUUUUUUGUUUCAUACACUUGUUCUUAUUUAUUUCUCGUAACUUUAAUUUUAAUUUUAUUUUCCUUUUUUAAAUUUUACUAUAUAUAAUCAUGGCCUGGAAAGAAUCAAGAAGCUUGUAAAGUUCUAAUUAAGCAAUUUUUUUGGGCGAUAAAUUUAUAUUUUGAUGCUAUCUAAGAUCCUUUGAACAAGAUAUAUCCUAUUCGAGAUCACUCAAGCUCCACAUAGUUCCCAGAUAUUACCCAUUCGGUUAUUGAUUAUAUGAUAUCUGAAGGUAAAAUGAACCUUAAUCUUUCCAAAGUUCAGUCGCAUGUGGCACUGAAAUUUCCACAAGGGAUUUUCUUUGUUUGAAGGAUCUGCCCUCGUAAUUAGAGUGUAGUUAAUAAUUAUCGUACAUGCUUGAAUUUUGUGUACGUGUUUUUCGUAAAAUAAUCCUAUCAAUUACAUGUCAGUAACGUAGCAUUAUUUCAGGACUACAGCUAUAUAACUGCUGUCUUGUUGAUCCAGAAAGUUCCUCGUCUAAAUGCAGGCCUAGGUCUCGAUCUGAACUGCAUACUUAAUCUCCAAAUGAAUGCCAAAAAAAUUUUCUCCCAAAUUUAUAAAAUCUCCUAAUCAAUAGUAUCGUAAAAAAAUAUUUUUGACACCAGCUAUUUGAGUUUUAUAUACCCCAUUUGAUAAGAGAAAGAUAAAACAGAAAAGAGCGUAAGAAGAGUGAUGAGCUAGGAAAUAAAACGAGAUUAAAAAAAUAAAGAAUGUGAAUAAGAGAAAAGACGUAAGAACAUCAGAGUUGAUACCAUUACACAGAUAUAAGUUUUUCUCUUUAAACAAGCUAGCAUUAGAAUAUUAUUGAAAUUAAUAAAGUAAAAACCCUUUUAAUUAGGAAAGAGAGGGAUUAAAAGAAUGAUUGUUAAAAGGUACAAUAAAAGGAGUGUGAGAAUAUGAAAAUUAACUAUAAAAUGUCAAAUUACCUGAGAUAUAAAAGAGAAAAAAGUAAAAGAGACUCAUUUUCGUGCCUGUUAUGUUUUAGCGGCUUGUAUUGGGUUGUCACUACUUGUGACAAACCUCUUCUAAUCAAUGAUAUAAUUUUUGCUGUGAAAAAAAAACGAGACUCAUUUCUGAUUAACACGAAGAUGUAUAAAGUAGCAACAAAAAAAAAAAUGUGAAUCCUUUCAAAAUGUGAAAUAAAGGCAAUUUUUACGCUACUUUUUUUCUUUAUCCUCUUUACAAAUAUCAAAUCACCUAGAAAAAAAGAGAAGAGAGAAAACAAUUAUUCUUUCAGUCAAAAAAAGAAAAAAAUUAUUCUUACAACUCUUUUAUAAUUACAAUAAAGAUGAAAAAUAAAGAGAAAACAAACGUUAUAUCAAAUAGAUGAUGUGAUUAAAAAAAUAGGAAAAAAUAUUAAAGGGUAUUAUAGAAAGUACAUUUAAUAAUGAAUAUAACAAAAAAAAAAGAAAUAUUUUAAUCAAGACAGCUUUAGUGACAAAUACAAAAGAUAAUGAAGUGAAAUUGCUAUCUUUUUGAGAAGGAAGUGAAAUUAUUGUCAUUCUAGUUCUGCUUAGAAUCAUUGAAUGUUCUGUUAAAAAAAAAUCAUUGAAUGUGAAAGAGGAAAAAAAUAUAUGGUCAUGAUUAUACUUGCAGAAAAAAAAAAUAUAUGUUGACUUCUUUUAUUUUCUUUUUGAUGUUGCCGUAUAAUGUCAAGUCUAGUAAUAAUAACAUUCAACCCCGACUUAAAUUUUUUUACCGUUUCUUAUAUACAUAUUUCGUUUGAUCUCAAACAUAAAAUAAAGAAGAAAAAUAAUCUUUAUUUUAUUGUUGAUAUCAAGUUUUAAUAAAUAAUAAAUUAAAAGAAAAAAUAUUUUUAAUUAAAAUUAAUGUAAUUAAAUAUAAUUAACUAAUUUUUUUAAUUUAGUAUAUCAUUUUUUUUCUUAUAUGAGACCAAAUGAAAUAUAACAUAAUGAUCUACGCAUCAUCAAUUCCAUCUCAUACCCUUGCGGUGCAACUCAAUUGGUUUGGUUUCUACAAGGUGUUUUGAUUUUUUUUUUUAAAAAUUAUUGAAGUCAUAAACGUCAAAUAUUAUGAUUUAAAACAUGUAUGUUAAUAGUUUCAGCACAGCUUUUAAACAUACAUUGGUUCCAAUAAAAUAAAAAAAAAAAAAAAAGACAAUACAUUGGUUCCAAAAAAAUAAAAUUUUAAUAAAAAGACAUUACAUUGGUUCCGUUCACUAUUAAUAGAAGGAGAAUGAAAAAUCAUUCCGCCUUAACACUUAACUAUAACCAAGAUAUACAUUUUAUUGAAUUCAACGUAUCUCAACAUUUACAUACUUAUUUUUGAAGUGUAUAUAAUUUCUAUGUGACCAUAUGAUCCAAGCCGAUGCAAACCACGUGCUCAAUUUGUUAAAAUAUUUAUUGUAGAUUAGUAUCAAUCAAUAAUUAUUAUAUUAUCUUUUAAUAUCAUCAAUAGAUAAUUUAAAAUAAUAUAAGUAUCAUAGAUUACAAAUUAUUUUAUAUGAGAUUAAAGAUAACAUUGAUCCUGAGUUGAGUUAGUUAUUAAUAGAUAACUCAUUUGAGAGAUAAAUUUAUUAUCUUAUUAAGUAAAUUUAUUCUCUAUGAUUCUCUCCCUUUGUCACACUUUUAACUCUUAAAGCAAUUUCUUAGAAAGUGGACAAUAAUUCUUUUAAGGUUAAUUAAGAAUUUUAUCGUCAAGUCAUGUAUAUAAUUUCUUCCAACAAAACCUUCCUUUUAUAUACAUGAUCAGAAAUUAAAUUCUGAUUAGCUAACGUGCUUAAAGAAUUUAGUAAUUUACCUAUUGUAAAUACUUGUAAUAAUAUAUAAUUUAUUAAAUUACUUCCUUGGUCCUUGAAUUGUUUGACAAUUUUUAUUUAAGUCAGUAAAUUAUUUUUUAUGGAAAAUAAAUUGUUUGAGUCAGUUGUGUGAGUUUACAAUAAGAUUAUUAUGGGGUAAAAUCUAAAGAGAUUUGUGAAAUAAUAUUUUGGAUGAAUGAACCUAUAGAGAUCAAAAUAAUGAUUAAAAAACUUGGUUGAGAAUAUUGAGUUUAGAACCUAUAAUUGUGAAAAUAUAAACAAAGGAAUGUGAGAAUACUAACAUAAAAAGGUAAUACUUAGGAUAGCCUUGCAGAAGUGAGUAUAUUAGAUUUUGAUACUAAUUAGGUUUUUGUGAUUAAGUUUUUGCAAUAAUAAUUAGACUGAAGGAUCCAAUUAAAAAAAAAGAGUAGAUAUUCAAGGACCUAAUUUAAAAAAUGAAUGACAAACUAAAAAAAUAUUGAUGAAAAAUGUGAAAUUGACACCAAAAUUUACUUUUAGGAAAAAUAUUGAAAAGCUUUUUCGAGAAGGAAAUAAUCUUGGAAAUCAAAUUUGAAUUUUAUAGUUGAUUAGCCAUAGAAAAUAUAUUAGCACUCUACAAUGAUCAUCUUAAGACAAAUAUUUCUAAUUAAAUAUGUAAAAUUACGAUAAGUUUAAAAAUAUUUAUUUUUCACUUUUGAAAUAAAUAAAUAAAUAAUUUUAUUCAAAUGAAAUAAUUUUUAAAAAUUAACUUUAACUCAAAUGUUUGAUUUUCUCUCUUUAUAUCCGAUCCUUUGGAACAAUGAGAAUCUCAAAUUCAUGUAAUUCUUUAAAAAAAGGCUUGUGUGUUGUGGAAUUUAAAUUAAAUUCAAGUGAUUGUAUUGUCAUAACUCGUCUCAUUAAAAUAUAGGAUUAAUAAGACAUAACACUUCAAUCCAUAUUGAAAGUGUAUUUCAUCUAAUUAUAAAUUAUCAUAUAUAAUUUUUUUAUUAGUUAAAAUUUAUUAAAAAUUACAAAAUUAAUUAAGAAUCAUUAAAUAAGAUGUAAUGAGACCCACUAUAAUGUAAUGUUUUUAAUAAAUUUUAAUUAAUAAAAGAAAAUAUAUUAGUAAAAAUGUGUUAAAAAUGUAUUUUUAGCAUUUCUCAUAAAUAAAUAAACUAAGUAAUAGACCUUAUACUUUGAAUUGGGUAUAUAUAAUCAUUUUCUUGAAUGUAACUAAUAAUGGUGGUCUUUUUUAAUUUUUAUAUGGGAGAAGAAAAUAAUGAAAUAGAGUAUUUUACUCGAUGUGAGACUUUUUAGGUGAGAUUAAGAGGGUUUUUUUUUUUUACAAUUUAACAACUUACUUUUGAGUUAAUUUUCAUCAUGAUAAAACUCAAAUUUAAAUUAAAAGCAAAAAUACGAGUUAUUAGUCUUCCUCUUAACUUUCUAACAACAUAACAAACGCAUCAUUGAAAUAAAUAUAAUUUAAAAUAUAACUUCAUCUUCUUAUAUUCUCUAACAAAAAAUAAGAAUUUAUUAACCUCAUUCUUCUUAAAACAUUCUCUUUUUUCAUUUUAUAUUUUAAAUGUUUUUAAAUAUCCGGACAAAAUUGAGUGUGAUAAUAUCAUAAUAUUAUAUCACUAAAUGAAUAUGACAAAAAUACCAAGUCAUUGCCAUUAAGUUGUAAUUGUUUUACGUAUUUUUGGAUUUUUUUUAUAAUAGUAUUAUAUGGUAUAUGUGAUAAAAAUUAUGGAAUGUAUAACGAUUGCAAACAAUUAAUAAAAAUAAAUUAAACAAAAAGUUUAAAAGGGAAACGGUCAUCAAAGCUAAUAAUACAAUCUUGAGUAGUCUUAGUUGAAAUAUAAUUAGAAAACAUAACGGUGUAUUUAGAUUUGACCCAUUCAUAGGACUAGCGUUUAGGCACUUCGACAAUACAUAAUAAAAGUUAUAAUAAUGAUGCGCUGUAAUGCCAUUACGGUUGAUUUGUGUUUUUUUUUUAGAAGUGGAUAAUUAAUGGGAUUAUUUCAAACUAAUACUGUUAAGGUUAUCAUGUAUUUACCUUUAGUUUUUUUUUAUUAUUAUUGAAUUGGUUUGAUCCGGCAUAUUCGGGUCGAGCCAUUUUAUCCUUUUUUCAUUUAACACCAUCUUUGAAAAGUUUUCUUUUUUAUAUUUAAAUAAUUUAAUUAAAUAAAUUAAGCUAGGAUGGAUUAUGACUAUGACCCACCUGUCACCAUAUUGUUACUUCCCCUCCCUCCUAAUCUUUUGGAGCGAAAACAUAGUGGAGAACGUACGUUUCCAAUGCACAACAAUACCAGUGCUACACUGCAUAAACAUUAAGAAAACUACAUGUAGAGACUAAAAGUAAUGUCUUUUUAAUUGCACAGGAAUUUAAACUAUUUCUCUUUAUAAUUAUAUAAAAUAUAGUUAUGAAAUCCAAUUGAUCCGGUCAAGAUAAUAGAUAUGUAAUAGUCCAACUGGUAGAUCAGUAAUUAGUCUAGUUUGAUUUGGUAUAUAUUAAAAAUUCAAUAUCUAUUAUAUAUAAAUAUAUAACUAACAUUAUUUGAGUUAGAAAAAUUCAUCCAUACUCUAAAAUUUCAAAAAUAACAAUCGAUAAUAAUGAAAUAUCUUAAGUUAAUUACGUCAUCAAUCCAAUAAUAAAACCGAUCUAAUUAGAUCAUUGGGUCUCGAUUUAAUCCGUCUAAUCGAUCGGAUCAAACCAAAUUUCACAAUUAUGAGAUAAACUCAAUUUAGAAAAAUCAUGAUCGCACAUUAAUUUAGUUAUAGAAACUAUAAGUAGUAUAGAUUUUAUUUUUCUUUUCAAUUGCAGCGCCUCCUUAAUUGAAAUCGAAAGCAAUGACUUCUAGAAUUAGACAUCCCUAACUAUUAAGUUCAUGUUGGGAUUUUUUUUAUGAUUGGAAAAGUAAGUUCAUGUUUAGAUUUAAGGUGGAAGAUUUAAAAAAAAUAAAAUUUCAUGGUAUAUGUUUUCUCUUUUUUAUUUUGUUUAUUAAAAAAAUUAAAAAUUAUUUUUUAACUGUUAUCCAAACAUAGUCUAAUAAAGGUAGGUUUAAGGGUUUCCCUUCAAUCCAAUUUAACCAAUUUUUAAUUAUAUAUGAUUGGGAUGUAAUAUAAUGUAGACUUGGAUCUAUGCAUUAUGCAUGAUUGUUUAUUUAUAUUUUAUUCUUAUAAAAUUAUUUUAAAAUUUAAAAUAAAUUAAAUUUUGAAGCACAUUCACAUGAUCCAAACAAAAUGUGAUCAAGUUGAUUUAGAUUGAGUUUAAAUUAACAAAAAGGACAUAAAUCUUAUGUAAUCCAUCCUGUUUAUUUUUUUAUUGGAUUGGGUCAUAGAUUUAAUCAUACAUGAUCAUAAACAUCUCUAUACAAAUCAUCACAGGGUGUGGGGACAAUUACCCCCACAAUAUUUUUUUUAUUUGUAUAUAUGUAAUUAAAAAAUUUGCUCCCAUAAAAAAAUAGAUAUUGCUCCUAUUAGAAGAAUUGUUUUAAAAUGAAUGUAAGAAAAUAUAAGAAAUAAAAUAGAGAGAAUAAAUUGAUAUUAAUCUUACUUUUUUAUACCUUUAAUUUUGUAAAGUAUUGACGAUAAAAAAAUCAUAGAGCAUUUUCAAAAUAUAAAAAAUAAUUAUAAUUUGUAAAAGUAUAAAUAUUUUAGAUUUUUUUGUCAUAAUAUUACAUAUUUUAUACUAGCUUGAUGAUAUUUUUUUGUUAUAAUAUUAUAAAUUAUUUCUUACGUUCACCGAGAAAAUUUUUUGGAUCCAGCACUACCUGUCACUCCAAUCAAAAUUAACAAUCAUGGUUUGUUCUAUAGUAUUUUUUUAAAGAAUUCUUGAUGUAGCAAGACAUGGUUAACAUGGUAGAACGUAUGAACUUUUCUGAUGAGACACUAUAUAUUAAAUAAGAUUAUAUUGUCUUCAUAACACAUGUUGACACGAGUUUAACAAGUGAUAUGAAAUCGAAGUUUAAGAUGUUUGCCUUAAUUGAGAAUAUGUUAAAAAUCAAGUUCUACUAUCUCAAAAAACGAUAAAAAAAAAAUUGACAUCCCAUAUCUCAUUUAUUAGAGAUAUUUUGGAUUGAGUCCAUUGCACUAUGAACCUAUAUUAAGGCCCAUUUGGAUCACAAUAAAAAUUAUUUCAAUAUUUUUGUAAUUAAAAAAGAAUAUUAUAUCAAUGAGUUUUUCAAGGAUGUUUUGCUUACUUGCUUGUUUCCACUACAUGAUUUUGUGGUGUAAACGCAGGAUUCAAUUAUUAGAUUCCAUCAAAAGAGGAACCCUAGUUUGAUUAAUUACGAUGUCUACUACCAUCCAUUUUUCAGUUUAAUUUGCGCCCUGUUUUUACCAAUUGUAACAUAUCACUGUCAAAGUAAAGACUCUUGGCGCUUUACCAAUUAAAAAAUAAAACAGUUCAGCGUAUAAUAAAAACCGUCUAGGUACGUGAUACAUGCUUCCAUUGCACAAAUCUUUUGCUUGACUUGACUUCAACAAACCUUAAUUAAACACCGAAGCAUCAAGAUAUAUUUAUGAAAUUCUUGAGUGUUAACACUGUUCAAGUGGUGGCUGUACUUGGCCCACGGAAAAUAAUUAAGAAUCAAAACUACUUUAAAACAGAUUUUAAUUGAAAACAAAAAAAAAAACAGAUUAUACAAUGUCAUUUAAUCACAAAUCAUAAUAAAUUUAUUGAUUUUUUAAUAAUUAACUUAAAAUUCAUAUCAACUAUAGUUUCUGAUUGAUUAACAACAUAAAAAAAUUAAUUGUCAAUUAAUACAUUACCAUUAAACUCAAUAUUUUACGCAUUCAACUAAUAAAAAUCAAUAUCAGUAUAAUUAUUAAGUUAAUUAUUAUAGCAUCAAUAAAUCUAUCUUAUAUAAGAUAAUUUAUAAUUAAAUAAUAAUAUAAAAAUUAUUUUCAAUGUUUACGCUAUUAACUUAUUAAAAUAUUAAUAAUUAUAUAUAGUUGCUAAAAGAGUUCUUAUUUGAGUUUCAUCAUUUUUUUAGAACUUAUGCUAUAUUUUUAUUUUCUUUUUAAAAAUUUAUAUAAAAUAAAAAUGAUUUUUAUAUAGUGUUAUAUAUAUAUAUUCAAACUAAACUUUUUUUGAGUAUUGAACACCUAAGAUCUUGACAAAAUAGGCGUAUUCUCCUGUUGCCUCCACAUCACUCUUUCGAAGGCAUAUCGUUUGGAUGUGAUGUUAGUGAUUUGGUAACAAAUAUGCUAAAUCUUGCAAUAAUUGCUAUUUUUAAAUAGUACGAAUACUUUGACAAUUAAAAUAACUCAUUCAUUUUAAGGACACUUACGACAAAAAAAAUGAAAAUAAAAAAUAUAUUAAUAAGAAUUCAACCUUUGAUCCUUUAUUUAUGAAUAAGAUAAUUCAUAAAUAAUACAAUAAAUCACUAAUAUACUAAUUUUUUUAAUUAAAUACAUUAAUCUUAUUUUUUAUGUAUUAUUAUUCAAGAAUUAUUAUUUUUAAAAAUUUAUCAAAAAUCAAAAUUUUAAAAAAUAUUUAAUAUAUAAAUAUUUUUAUUUUUAUUUUGAAUAGUUUAUAUAUUUUAUUUUACCAAUUUAUAAUUAAAUUUCAUAAAACAAUACAUAAAUUAUUUAUAUAAUUUCAAUAUACCAAUUAUUUUUACUCUAAAUAUUUACAUAAAGUUAAAAAGAUUUAAUAUAUUAAAUAUUUUUUAAUUUAUAAUUUUUGAUAAUUUCAAAAAAAAUUAAUAACUCUUCACUAAUGAUAUAUAUAAAAUAAUAUUAAUAUAGUUAACAAAAUAAAACAAGUAUUUUAUUGUCUUGCCUAUGGAUAAUUUUGUGUAAAUAAUUUAUAUAUUAAAAUCAAUUUUAAAAAAUUAUAUAAAUAAUUUACAUGCUAAUUUAUGAAAUUUAAUUCUAAAUUGGUAAUAUAUAUAUAUAUAUAUAUAUAUAUAUAUACUAUUAAAAAUAAAACAUACAAAAUAAUAUAAAAUAAAAUUAAAAUGAUUUGUAUAUUAAAUAUUUUUUAAUUUAUAAAUUUUGAUAAUUUAAAAAAUAAUUAAUAACUCUUCACUAAUGAUAAAUAGAAACUAAUGUUAACCUAACUAAUUAAAUAAAGCAAAUGUUUUACUAAUUUAUUUCAUUUCUCUAAAAAUAAAGGAUCAUGUAUGCCACAAUCCGCUUGUGAUUGUUUUGAAAUUUUGGGUUUUGGUUUUCAAAUUACUUCUCAAAGUAAAAUGUGUUUGAUAAAAAAUGGAGCUAAAAUAAUUUUAACUCAAUUUUAGAAUAUAUUUAUAUUCAUUUUUAAAAUAUAAAAACAAUUAUGACUGUUAUCAUUGACACUCACAAUCAUGAUCAUCACCAUCAUUGAUACAAUUAUUAUCAUCAUUAUUAUUGUCGCUACGAUCAUUAAUACUAGCAUUAUCAUCAUUGAAAUUAUCAUCAAACCAUCCCCGCUAAUGACACCAUCAUCAAUCAACACUAAAAAUAUCAUCACCACUAAUCCUAGAAUUAUGGGUGUUGCCACCCUUUACAUCAUGAGUAUAGUUGUCAUCAUCCACAUCAAUGCUAAUACUGUCAUCACAUUAAACAAGCACCCUUAAACUUAUUUUAAUAAGAUAAAAUUUUUUUAAAAUGAUUUUACUUUAAAAGUAUAAAUAAAAAUAAAAUAAAAACUAAAACAUGAUUAUUUAUAAAGUUUUUGAAACUUAUAACUAAAAAUCACUCAAUCCCAGAAUAGGAAAAAUGGAAUAAAAAAAAAAAAUACUCAAUCCGGGCCUACAAUGGUGUUGGGAGAGAUUUCAAAAUUUUAAAGAAUUAAUAUAUGAAUUUUUUAGAAGAAAUCUAUGGAAUUUAUUACUNNNNNNNNNNNNNNNNNNNNNNNNNNNNNNNNNNNNNNNNNNNNNNNNNNNNNNNNNNNNNNNNNNNNNNNNNNNNNNNNNNNNNNNNNNNNNNNNNNNNUAUAUAUAUAUAUAUAUAUAUAUAUAUAUAUAUAUAUAUAUAUAUAUAUAUAUAUAUAUAUACACACACAUAUUCAUGGAUGAUCAAUUAUUACAAAAUUGAAUUUUGAUUAGCAUAAUUUAUAAUUAUGAAAAUAUCGUUAAUUUCACCCAAAAAAAUAUCGUUAAAUAAAUUUAGAAAACGGGACAAAGAAAAAGAGAAGUACAGGAAAAUAAGAGAAAGAGAGUGAGAGAAAAGGAAGGAAUGCAUUAAGACUUCGAAAAAAUAAUGUUUACAAUGAGACCAUAAAAAAUAAGGAUUUUUUUUUCAUUUUAAGUAUUAUUUGAAAAAAUAUAUAUUUUAUAUGAUAAAAAAAUCUCUUAUAAUAUUUUCAUUAUUUUAAAUUUUUGAAAAUUUAAUAUAUAUAAUAUUUUAAAUUCAUUUAAAAUUAAAUUUCUUUAUCAAGAUUCUUCAUUCAAACACGCUUUAAGAGUCACAUUGUUUUCUACUCAAAUGGAAUUUUUAUCAUGACAAAAAAAUUUAUGCCACCUAACGUUUUCAGUAAAUUGUAUCAAAGAACUCUCAACCACUAAUUAUUAUGCAGAGAGUGUGCUUGCAGAGAGAGAAAUGAAGAAAAAAGUGAACCAAACCUAGUGUUUUUUUGUUGUUGGUAUAAACGACAUUUGUUUAGAAACAAGAGGCGUUGUUUUUAUUUAUUUAUUUAGGUAUUAAGACGUGUAAAUGAAAAAUCAAACGCUGUAAAAUCAUUGAAAGAAAAAAAUCAGUGACAAACAAAUUAAAUUUUUCUUUAUAUUGACUUUGGAUGCACUAAUAGUAUAUGAUUUUUGUCACAUCAUUGCUUUAUAUUGGGGGGCGUCAUGAUUGAGAUGAAUGAGCUGGUGCAUAAAAUGUAAUCAUUAAUUAGCUGUUCCCUUUUUCUGCUAAGAAAGCAUUUACUGAAGUCAAAUAAGAAAUAAUAAUUCCUUUACAUUCCAAAAAUACGUGAGAGCCACAAAGGAUGCAUAGUGUAAGAAAUCCAAAUAAUCAUUCUGAUUUCAAACUCUUCUUUCUUACAAUCUUACUAAACCUUAACUUUGUAAAAAUUGAGCCCUAAUCAAUAAUUCAUCGCAGCUAACUAUGACUAAAUACGUCAAAUCGGUGACUAAGCAUUUGCUACAUUACGCAAAAGUGAAAUCUUUUGUAUUGUAUUAUCUAUCAUAUUAAUAUCUGCCAAUGCGAAAUUGAAAAUUAAUUUCACAUUUUUCUAACAAUAUAAUAGAUAUAUAUUCUGCUUGAUCUUUUUAAAGUUAAAGAAAUGAUCCAAAUGAGUUUUAUCCCUGUUGAUAUUUUUUUCUUCAUUUGCACAAUUGGAAAUAAAAGUAUAAAACCCUAGUGUAGUUUUUUUUUAUUAUAAUUUUUUAAAAAAGAAACUUAUUAACUUAGUGAUCACGUGCUCAGUUUAAGGUGUGGAAGUCUGAUAUCAAUUUCAACAUUUUUUUAACAAUUUUAUCUUAGUUUAAAAGUAAUUUGAUAUUCGUUUAUAGUCUCUUGCAUGUUCGUUUCUUUGUAUUUUGAUUUCUCCGAGUUUUUAAUUAAUAUAUGGGAGCUAGAAAUGUAUCAAUUACACUUUGUUGAAACUCUCUUGUUUGUCCUUCAUAAUAUGAAAGUUGGUGCGUCUAAUACCUUUCGAAUUCACCAAUUAGUCAUGUACAAUUUGAUAAAGCAUUCAACUUAUUUUCCUUGCCUUUUCCUAGAUAGUAUUGAUGUUGUAAAGUAGAUAAUGAUAUUUUCCUUUCCUUGGCCAAGUACUCGAUCGAUCAUCACUAUUCGAAUUUCGUCUCUUGUUUUAUGUUUUUUCAUGUCUUUUGAGAGUUGGUAGUUUUCUACAUUUAUCUUUUUUGUUGAAGGACGAAGCUGUAAAUCAUCUCAUAUAAGCUUUUAUUUUAUAUUUGAUUACUAAUUAUCCUUUUUCAUAGACUUUUUCUUCGGUAGAACAAACCAAGUAAAGCAUGUGGAUAGAUGACCUUUUGACAAAUUAACUAUCCUUUGUGUGCUAGAUUAGAUAUAAACUUUCUUAGAACAAAUGGUACAACGAGAUUUGUCUUUCUUAAUAAAAACAAAUUCUUAUAUUUUGGUUGUUGUAAUUAGAACAUAAGAGCUUUUAGAUCACUCUCGAUCUAACAGUGUUCUACAACAUCCGUUUUGAAACAAUUACUUCUUAUUAAAUGUGCUAAAUUGUGAUAAUUACAAAAUUAUUUAUUUGAGCCCUUUUAAAAAGCCAAUAACAUGAGAAUUAAGAGUUUGAACAUUUUAUUUAUUUAUUUAUUUUUUUAUUUUUAUAAUGAAUGUACAUUAAUGAAAAAAAAAAUUAUUUUUAAGAAAGGAAAAUUUAUAUAAAAAAACUUAUAUUUAACUUGACAGGAGUCAGAGACGGUCUCUUAUUACUCUUACGAGUAUCCCUAAAUACAACGAGAAAAAUUAGUCAGCGAAUUGAUUCAACAUCAAAUUGUUAUUAUAACUUAAGUGUAUCUCAGAGAAAAUUAGAAAUGUAAGAUUAAUAAAAAAAAUUGUCACACCUAAAUUAUUCCUCUGUUAAAUGGUAAUAUCUUCUCCGACCAAAAAUUUUGGUGAAUGUCUUCUCCGACCUAUUUCCUUUGUUUUCAGCUCUGGCUGCCACUUGCGCUUUUCUUGUAGUUUAACUUGACUGGUUCAGCAGAUAAUUCGGAGUAAUUAAAUACUACUACCAUUUUAAACAUGCAGAUCAUAUAUAUACCAUGUGUUCUUCAUGCCCAACUUUUUGUUCGAUUCAGAUGCAUCUAACAGCAUCAUCCCAUUACACAUUACUAUAAAACAUCAAAUCUAUAUACUAUAAACAUUUUCAUCUCCAAGAUUCACUAAUUAUAAAAUUAAGUUAGUUUACCUUUAUAAGAAGUAAGCUAAAAAAUUAUAAUUAUAAAUUUUCUUAAAAUACACUCAAGGUGUAACUUAUUAAUUUACUCCUUCUAAAAAAAUAAGUGAGUUAAGUUAGUAAAUCCUAUAUUUAAAUGAUAAGAGUUUAAUUUUAGAUAAAAAAAAGUUUAAUUAUUCAUUUAAUUCUUAUAGUUUUCAAACUUAUCCUUUCUAGUCUUUAUAGUUAAUAAGUGAAUUUUUUUAGUCCUUAAAGUUUACAUUUUAAUUCUUAAAAGGUCUAUACUGUUAAAUUUUUUUAACUCCAUUAAUUAAAGAAUUUUAAUGGUAGAAAAUUUUUGGAAAUUAAAAUAUAAAUUUUAGGGACUAAAAAAUUCACUUAUUAAUUGUUGAAAAAUCAACGCUCUGGUACCACUGUUGACUAAUCAACACUCCCUCAAAUAAAAUUAUUCACACCCACACAAAGAGUCGUGAGAACACAUACAAAGAUUACAAACACAAGAAUUUAACGUGGUUCAACACUUUUUGUCUAUGUCCACGAAACCGUCUCAAAAAUAUUUUUACUAUUAUAAGAUUGUAACACACCCCAAAUAGUAUAUCAUUCUACAAACCCGAGUAUCUCACUCAAUGGUUACAAGAAAUGAUAAUACUCUCACACAAAGACUUUUUUCUCUCAAUAAAGUGACUUUAUUUUACAAUCUCUUUUCUCACACACACUCUAUCUAUAUGUGUUGUGUUUCUCUACUAAUUCUUUUUUCUAUUUACAGUGAAGAUUGCUAUUAACUAUAAUGAAUAAGUUCUCUUAGAAGUUAAAACAAAAAUAACUUCCAAUGCAUCUAUCAACUAAGGUUCAUAUAGUAAAAUGUAAUCUUUCACUUUGUAUUUAAGUCACUUAAACCUUAGUGAUAAAAAUUCAAUUCUCAAUGUGCAUAUACCUUAUCUUUUGACUUGAAACUCUAAAUUAACUAGGGACUAAAAGAGAUAAGUUUGAAAACUAUAGAAACUAAAUGGAUAAUUAAAGUUAGAUAAAAAUCAUUUAAGUUUAAAUAUAUGGGAGAGAAAUGUUUUUGACAUAAUGCAUAUCAAUAAAUUAUAUCCUAUAUAGUUUAAACUAAAAUUAGAAGAAUUUAACACAUAAAUAAUUAUUUAAAUUAAUAUAUAUAUAUAUCAAUUUAUAAUUUUAAAACUUUAAUAUCUAUAUCAAUAAGGAGAUAAAUGUUAUAAAAUUUUAUAACGUUAAUUGAACGUAAUUUUUUGUUAAAUAUUGAAUUCAUUAUAAUUUCAUUUUUAAGUGUUAUUUUGUGUUUUUGAUAUUUAUAUGUAUGUCACUAGUACCACAAAAAAAAAAAAAAAAAGCUUCGGCAAUCACAAGACUGUUUAAGGUGGAGACAGGGCCAAUUUACGUGCAGCCCAACACUCUACUCACCUAAAAAAAGUAAGUGUUUUGGAUUUGGUUCCUCGUUAUCAAAUGCCUCAAGUCUGUUAUUCUGUAUCCUACAAGUAGUAACUAACUGAUGUUCGUCUUUUCCCUUUCAAUUUUAUUCAACUGUCCAUAUGCCCACACCAUUUGUAAUUCUAUUCUUCACUUAAAUAGAUACAAAUAGGGAAAUGCUGAUGAGUACAAAAUUAGUUUUGUACUAACCACACGAACAGUUGUUUUUAGUAUAAAAAAACACUUAUAUCUUAAUUUUUAAUUAUUUUUUUUUUAAAAGAAGAUAACAGCUUAUAGAUGCUCAAGUCCCAAAAACAAUACACACUACCAAAACUGCACUAGUCUAAAGUGGUCUCGUUUAAAUAACUCAUGUUAUAUAAAGAUAAAGAUCAGUCACUGUAUACAGAGUUACUACUUACCAGUGGCGGAAGUAUGGCAAGAAUGAUUUUUGUAUGACUUGUAUGGGUAGCAUAGCGUGUGUUAAAUUACUCGAGUGUAAUACUAAUACCCAUAUAUAUAUAUAUAUAUAUAUAUAUUCAAUUUCCCCCUAACUUGUAUGCAAGUUUACUUAUCCAGAAUUAUAUAAUGAAAAUGAUUAUGUGAAUUUCUCAAAGCAUGCGAAGCAUGAUCAAGGAACUCUGUUAUUGUUUUAAACUAUUUAAAAAAAAAUCAGUGCAAUUCAAAUCACUUGCAUAAAUCUUUAUAAAAAAAAAAAAAAACAUUCAUGCAAUUAUCUCGUUUUCAUCUAUGCUUACAUGUAAGUGUUUAAUUGCGGAAUAAUCGUCCUUGACAACCUAAUCCAUUAUCUUAUGUCCGUAGCUAGUUUGCGUUUUCGAUCCCUAUGACGACUUAAUAUUGAAAAUCUUGAUGGAAGAAAGACAGCACUUUGUGUUGCUCCAUCUCAUGAACUUGUUGUACUUGUAUCUAUGCGCCGAAUAUACGAAGAUGUCGAAGCUGACUACGCUCAAAGCCGUGAGAAGCCAGUAAAAGUAAUCAAACCUGGCAGUGUUGAUGUUUUGAGACAACCAAGAUGGUUGGCCUUGUGGCAGAUUUAAUGAUGUUGUUUAUGAUAGUGUCCACAAAACAACCCAAGCCACCAGCCAGUGCAGCAUAAGCAGAGCCUAUGCUCUUCAUGGCAUCAGGGGAUUCUUCAUAUAAAAAUUCCGACAACCCCACAAUUAAUGCAAAACACUGAGGCCUGGGAACACAGGCAUGCAUGUAACUGGGAGUUUCAAGCGACCCAAGUGGGCGUUGAGCAUGAUUUUGCAAGCUGGUAUGGCGAUAAGUUUGAUAAGGAUCUUCACUUCUUCUACUUGAGUAACAGUACACAGCCUCCAAGGACUGGGAUUAGCACCGUCUUCUUUCAAUUGCAAACCUCAAAUCAUACAGGCCUAUGAACUCACUGCUACCAAAAGAGGCAUUUCUCUUUCUUAAAGCAGCAACCCAAUACUCGUAGCUACGAAGAACACCAUGUUAGAUAUACCCAUUGCAAUUGCCAGUGAGCCAAAUGCAGAUCCCCAUCCAAAUUUCAUCUGCACCUAUGGUCACUGACAUAGAGAAUAAGUUGAAGAAUCUGUCAAAAUGAGAUUUACUAUUGGAGUAAAAAAUGAAAAAAAUCUUGAGAAUGAUAUGAAACUUUAAAAUCCACCAAAAAGAUAUUUAAGAUUUCAAUGGAAACUGAAUGAAUUGUGUAUGAAUACAAGGUUGAACAGAGAAGAGAGAAGGCAUUCUUAAUCCAUGAUCUUUUGAUACAGUUAGGGAAAAGCGGCCAUAUUAAAGGAAGGUUCAACUAACACGUUGAAACCAGCCAUGCACAAUAAAUGGCGGUAACACUACACAACAUCAUUGGAAGCGAUUGAAGAGAAUCCAUUUAUGGUCACCUGCUGUCAUUGAUUGGUGCCUGCAUGUUAGUAGUAGUAAUUUAUUCUAACUCUUAUUCCCAUUAUCGUUUUGUUUAAGAACUUUGGGUUGGUUCAGCAUGAAAAUGUGGAUGCACAUAAUUUUCCAUCUGAGUUGGAAGGUGGGGAUAGGACAGUUGCUUGAAAUUUUGUGCUUGGUUUUAAAUUCUUCUACUUCAAUGAUAUGGUCCUAUUUCUCCACACAAGCCAAUCCAGAUUUUAACCUUUCACUUCUCUGAAAUGAAUCCUCUCGUACCCAUCAUCGGUCACGUUAUACCUCACCCUUUUUUUUUUUAUUAUCAGGAAUGAGAUAAACACAAUUUCAACAUGACCUUAUUAUGUUGCAAUACUCUUGUAACUUGUAAGUAGAAUUUAUACUAUUGUACUUCUAGCUGCAUCUAAGUCUAAGUUAUAAAAUAAAGACUUCAUGAGGAAAACAUGAAAAUUUGUGCUGGUUUUUCUGUACAUCAAUGUACUUAGAAAACAAAAGUAAAAUAACAAUAAAUUAUAUUUAACUUGUGACCUCAACUUUUAAACAAAUUAAAUAAAAGGUAAUGAUAUUUACACAUUCUUUCGUUUUAAAUAUUUCAUCAACAUUUUUUAUUUUUCUUUAUUUUUCUUUUUCUAUCACAUUAUAUCACCUAUCAUAUUUGUAUUUUUAUAUUUUUUUUCUCUCAUUAAGUGUUUAUUAGCAUUUGGAUAUCUAAAUAUAUUUUUCCAUUAAUAAAAAUACUUUUAUAAACAUUCAAGUAUAUAAAUUAAUUUUAGCCCAUAUAAAAAAAUUAUUUUAUUUUAUCUUCCUUUUCUUUCUCCUAUAAAUUCUUAUAGAAAAAAUUUAUAAGCACAACCUAUACUAGGAAAAAGAUUUAUGUACAUCCCAAUGAUAUUUUACACCUUGAAAGACAAGAGAGAAAUGUAGAUAUGAUAAGUGAUUGAUAUGAUUUGAUAGAAAAAAAUAGAUAAAGACUAUGCUUGGUAAGACAUUUUAAUUAAUUUUUAACUUUUUCUACUAGUUGAAAAACUUGUUUAAUUAUUUGGUAAAUAAGUUUUUUAGUAACUUCUAAUGUUUUUUAAAAUCUUACUUAAAAUACAUUUUAUAAAAUGUUAGCUUCUAACUUAUAAUUUUUUAUAUUUUCUUCCACUUUUAACCUUAUUUUUUUUUAUUCAUUUACCUUGUUAAUUUUUUAUAAAAUAAAUCAUGAUUUUUUUUGUCAUUUUACACUUUUUAACCCGUUAGUUUUACUAAACACUUAAAAUUUAUUAAGUUAACUUUUCAGUUUCUCCUUAUUAGCUUUUAACUUUUAGCUAAUUUUGAUCAAUAUAACCAAAAGAAAAAGAAAAGAUAUAGGUGAAGUGAAGGAACAAUCCGAUUUUUUGAUCCACAAAACAUGAUUUUCUUAAAGCAUCUCUAAUGAAAAUUUCUUAAGUUAUUUUUUAUGGUCUCUACAUUGUCAUGUCUUUAUAAGAAGUUCAUACACAAUUUUGCUCUCAUGGUAAGAAACUUCAAGAAAUGUCUUUAUAGAAAGUUCAUACACAAUUUUGCUUUCAUGUUAAGAAACUUCAAGAAACUCAAACUAUUAUUUUUUUUUUAUUUUCACUUAAUUAUGAUGUUUAGGGUUUCAUACACAAUUUUGCUCUCAUGGUAAGAAACUCAUAUUUUUUAUGUGUUAGAUAUAUAUUUUUUUAUUACUAAAAAAUAGUCCCUUGCAAAAUAUAUAAAUCUUAUUUUUAAGAAACUUGUCACAUAGAUUUACUCCGAUGAAAAAAAAAUUGUAAGAAAUAAUUUAUUCUCUUAAGAAAUUCUUCAAGAAAUUUCCAUUAGAGGCAAUUUUGUUCAAUUUGGGUUUGCAAUUUUGCUCGAUUUGGGUUUGGGACUGUUCUUUAAGGCUGAAUCUCGUUGCAUAGUUAAGGGAAAUUGCUUUCUGCACCUCCGAAUUUGUAGACACCUUUUUAAACUUCCAGAAACCCUCAUUCAGAAUGUAAUCCAAAAUGUAAAAUUUUACAUUCAGCAAUGACUAAUCCGGAAUGUAAAUUACAUUCUAGAUCCGGGUGCAAGAACCAAGUCUGGAGGUGCAGGAAGCAAUUGCUGAAAGGAGAUAGCUUUCCCAAAUCCCAAUUUCCCUUACGACCUUGUGUGGUUUUCGCUGUCUCUGGCCUAAGGGAAGCGACUUGGUGAACUGCCCUCAAUUUAUUAUUAGUUAAACAUGCAUGAGUUGUGUUAUUGAUCACAACAAAAUUUUAAUUAAAAAUUCGAACUAAAAUGUAAGACUUUUAAACAUAAACGCACAACCAUUGUAUAGUGGGGAAAAAACAAAACGCUUGACUUGAAGCGGACAAUUUUUCCCAUUUACAUUGUAUCACUAUCGUCUAAAUAAAUGACUCCAUGAAGCACAUUUGCAGCAGCACAAAAUGCACAGCCGCUGCCUUUUAUUAAUCCAUAGAUGCCAUCAUACACAGCACUGCAUUACUAACCAUGACGUUCAAACUUCAGUGGCUGACCAACUUAAGAGAGUUUGCCUUCUCUUGCAGAGAAUCCAGGAGGCUGUCAAAGCUCUUCUUAAACGAGUCCACUCCUUCAAGUUCAAGCUGGGAACCAACAAAGCUCCAGUCAAUACCCAAUUUCUGGAGAGCAUUGUAUAUUCCUUCAGCUUCAGAUGCAUUUGAGUCUAUUGUCCUGGAUACGGUACCAUGAUCAAUAAAUGCUUGAAGGGCUUGGUCUGGCAUGGUUGAUACCUGGAAAGUAACAAGGUAUUGCUAUGAUGAGAUACAGCAAAGGAAACUAUGGUUUUUAAGUUUCUUUAACACAAACAAGGCCAGACAACAAACAAGUCCUUUAAAGCUAAUCCUAAUAUUUGUUUUAGAUCAACUCGAACAUAAUUAUAAAAAAUUGGCAAAGUGAAAAAAAAUGAUGGCUUACAGUGUCGGGUCCAAUAAGAGGAGCAACAUAUAAGGUGUCAGAAUAGGCAGGGUUCUUUACACUGGUUGAGGCCCAAAGGAGCCUUUGCUUCUUGGCCCCCUUUUUAACUAGAGCUUCCCACCUUGGACCAGAAAAUUUCCUUUGGUAGAGCUGGUAAGCCAAUGCUGCUUGGGCUACUGCUGCCUGUAAAAUUCAAUAUGCAAUCCGAAGAGCAUAUUUGACAUUUGAAAGUGUAAUAAAUCCAAAGCCAAGAAUAGAAAUUAGUUUGGAAAACAAUAAACAGUUACCUUCCCACGUAGAUUAAGAGCCUCUGGGGUGCCAAUUUUCUCAAGGGCCUUGUCAAUGAGAGUGUCCACUCUACUGACAAAGAAAGAGGCAACACUUGUAACUCUAGAGAGGUCAUUUAACCCAGAUGCCUCAAGACCAUCCAAGUAAGCAUCUAUUACAGCUUCAUAUCUUGCAAGAGAGAAUAUCAGCUGUGCAUACAAAUACCAGAAUAUCAAGACUUGAACCAUGAAAGUAAUAGAGAUCAAGUCAGACAACACUCGUCAGGACAGUUGGAGACUUAGUUUUCGAUUUUCUUUUAGAUGCAACCUCAAUUCUAACCAGAACAGGCUUAAACUAAUUGUAUUUGUUAUUUUUGUAAUGACAAUAUCUACACAGUUACUUAUCAAGUAGCUAAUAACCCAACCUAGAACAGCAUAUCAUAACAAUAUAUGAUACUAAUUUAUUUAAUUUGCAGAUUACAUGAAAG